UAAUAAACCAUUUUAUUAAUUUUUAUUCUCCGAAUUUCGGAGACGUUGAUCAAAAGAUCCAACUACUCACAUUACAUAUCUCACUUUUAAUCUAAAUAACACGCCUAACCGUAAUCGUUUCCUCAACACCGGCCGUCCUAGUUUCCACUUUCUCUCCAUGUUCUCUCAAAUCCUGCAACCCCAUCAAUGAACACACGUUGCAUGAAUCGUGAAAGGUCACUCCAAUCAAACCUAAACAUACAUUUUAUUCCUGUAAGCUGCGAAUCCUGCUGAUCCCUUUCCCAAAUCCUCAGUAACCCAAGAUUUUUUUAUCCAACAAGAUCAUCCUUUCUUAAAAUUUUCAAUUGUAGGCAUGCACAGACAUUAUCUUUGGCCUCAUCAUCAUUAAUUGUUGUCCAGAAGUCAGAUGCAAUGACCUCUAGACAUUAGAUUUUGACCGAUGGUCCGAUUUCUUCAACAAUCAACCUCAACCAUUAUCGUGCUAAGGUAAAAUUCCCAUUGUUUUCCCCCUCUUUUUCUUAUGUUUUUCACCUUUUUGCUAUAAUCAUCUGUCAAUCGUCAUUCUCUACUGUCGGUUGAGUUCGAACGGAACCCUAGGUGGCUUCAAUGCCACUAUAAAUAGAGCAUUCAAUUACAUCACCUAAAACAACGAAAAACUACAUUGAAAGUAAAAAAGAGUAUUAAAAGUUUAAACUUUCAACUAAGUUUAAGUUCAAGCUGUACUUCUCUAAUUUCACUUUUUUCUUCCUUUAAUUUAGGUUCGGCUUCAACCUCUGUGAGUUGAUCGUUGUGACUUCUGGGUUCUUAAAUGGAUAUUAGCACAUCUGGCUUGGUUUGCUGCUCAACAGAAGGUCAGUGUACAAUGACCCCAUCUUUAUUUUAAAUUAUUUGUGUAGUCCUAUGUUCAUGAUAUUUUCCCUGUUAAUCAUUCAUUUUUUAUGAUAUAUAUUAGUGACGUAAGACUAUACGUGCUACGUUCUCCUUCUGCAUAUCACUAUCACUGUUGAAUUAAGGAUCUUCCUGAUAAGUUAUGUUGUCUUGUUACUGUUAUCAAAUCAGUUAUAUUAAUGAACUCCGUCUCUCAUGACUUAGGUAGUUGAGAAUGUUUUCUAUAUUGUUAGUACUCUUAAAUCCUAUUAGGACUUGGUGAUUAAUUGAACUAAAUCUUGUGAUAAUAGUACUAUGUAUGAUCUUUUCUUGUUAAUUAAGUAAUAGUCAAGUGUAUAUUGUUACACCCCAUGUUUUUGUACAUGAAUGUACGCCAUAAGUAAAUUGAUGGAAGCUCGGAAAUGAGAUGUUACAUCUCGCAUUUUCGUAUGUUAAAGUUUCGUCGUCAGUUAAUUGGUGUAGAAUCGGGGAUGAGAUUUUCUUGAGAUUAUAAGCAUAUAUGCUAUUUACAACAAGCAAUAAGUAACUGCCGUGAAAGAUAAAGGGUAAAUGAAUCAAAGAAAAUGAGUUUCAUUGAAGGUUGUUGAUUUGGGAUAAAAUAUAAUCCGAGCAAUAACACUCGGUACUUAUGGACUAAUGUCAUACAAGGUACUAUAUGACCGUGAUAGUAAGGUGUACAAGGUAUGUUAAAAGUGAAUAGUAUUUUAAGUAAGUUAAGAUAAUUCUUAAUUAUGUGGGUAAUGGGAUAUUACCUAAUUAAUUAGGAAUAUAUUGGAUGAGGAUUAAAAUUGCAUUAUGUGGCAGACCCCCCCCCCCUCUCCCCCCCUUCAAAUUAAGUGACUCAUAGAUCUAGUUGAAAGGUGGCAAGCUAAAGUGUUAAAUACAAGACACUACAUCCCUCUACGUGUAAAGACAUAAACGAUCUAGUAAUCUUAUAAUGUUUUCCUAUUGCAAAUAUUACAAAAAAGACGUUAAGAAUAUAUAAAGAAAAUUCAUAACAUCUUCAACCAAUUCCUAGAAGGAUUCCAGCGUUAGCAACCUCAAACCAACGAGAUUUCAACAAGAUUUCUUGAAACAAAAAUUCCAACGAGAAUUCUUAGCACCUUAGCAACGUGAGAUUUUGCGAUUCUAAGGGAGUACAGUGCAAACUUUUCCUACAAUAUCAUACGAAUUUUUUCCUACUCCGGGUAUGUUAAGGCUAAGCCCUUCCUUCAUUUUGGCAUGAUCUCAUAAUUACAUGUAUUUGAUAACGAGGCAUGACGAGAAGUUCAUACUCCUGAAUUUAUAUACAUUAUCCUAAUCUUAUAAAUUACAGUAUUCUCCUUAUCGGGACUUCAUAUUUAAUUGAGUAAUGUCGUCUUCCAGUCAAGAGAGAAGAGAGCCUAUAUUUAUACUAUUACGGUAUUUUCAUUACCAUCGAGCUAUAAUCGAUAGGCAGGCCCCUAUUGGGCAACCUCUGAUCAGAUAGUAAGUUAUAUACCAAGCCUACUGUGGUCGAGCGUCUAUGAGCGAGCCCAGCUGGCCGAGAUACAGAGCCUAGUAUGGCUGAGCGCCUAUGAGCGAGCUUACUAUGACAGAGCAGUUGUAUAUAUACCGAGCCUUAUUGGGCCGGAAAACUAUUUUACUUACUAUAUUGAGAGAGUUGAGUCAGUAUCAGCAAGUAAGCAUAUCUUCAGACUAUCUUUGACUCCUAGUUACUUUCAGUUAUUAUAUUAUCAAUUCAGUUCAACUUUCAGUAUAUAUUGCCUUACAUACUCGGUACAUUACUUGUACCGACAUCCCUUUUGCCUGGGGACGCUGCGUUUCAUGCCCGCAGGUCUCGAUAGACAGGUCGAGAGUCCUCCAAGUAGGCGAUCAGCUCAGCGAAAUAUGUUGGUGCACUCCAUUUGCUCUAGAGUUUUUUUUUUGGUCAAUAUGAUUUAGAUAUGUAUUGUUUGGUAUGGCGGGGCUCUGUUCCUACCCUUAUGACAUUAUGUAUUCUUAGAGGCUUGUAGAAAGAUGUCAUGUACGUAAAAGAUUGUAUGGUCUUGUCGGCCUAUGUUCAGUGUACGAGUGGUUAUUUUGGUCUUACAGGCCCAUAUGUCUUAUGUAUAAGUUGGUAUUACAUGUUGUAUUCUACCUAUCACACGGCAUCUCUCCGGCUCAGUAAUCUAUGAUAGUAUAAUACGAAAACAUACGUUAUAUUGGUACUCGGUUGAGUAAGGUACCAAGUGCCCAUCGCGGCCCAUCGAUUUGGAUCGUGACAUAUAUUUUCAUGAUGACUAAGUUGAAGGAAUCGAGCUUUUGGACCCGUCUUGAAGUUCUGCUGAUACCCGCUGCACUGUGCUAUCUUGAUCCUUAUGUCUAUGAUAUUAUGCUGCAUUAUUUUAGUUCCAAUAAAAUGAGUUUUCACCGUUGUUCAUACUUUCAUAUUGAUUUGUUUGACUCUAGUUGACAGCUUGUUCAUGCUACUAUUGUAAAAUAAUUUAUGUAUGUUUCUUAUGAUGAUUUGAGAUAAAAAAGAAAUCACAUAAUGAAAUUUGUUGGUGUGCUCACAUAUCAGGAGGUAGCUUGUUGGGAUUAACUUGUGUCUAUACUCAUCAUGCUGCUUGUACUAGUCCAGUAAUGUUCAUGAAUCUUCACAUUCUCUUAGUUUAGAAAAAUUCAUGUUUAAAUCAUCAUGUUUGCUUUCCUUUAGUCUCACGUUGAUCUUCCCAAAUGGUUAUGCCUGUUCUACUAUGCUAAUCGAGUUGUUUAGUUAAAGAGCCUCAAAUAGCAGUCAUGCUAGGUCUUAUAUUGGUUAUGUCUGGCAGAAAGAAAAUGGUUUCUAUGUUUAUCAUGAUAACCUAGUGAGGAUGUGGGUACAUCUUAACCUAGGGCACCACAGUAAUCAUACUUGUUCAUUUCAAACGAUGUUCUUCAUUCAUCUACCUGUUUAUUUUGGCUAUUUAUGCUUGUUAGUUCUUUCAGGAUCAUGUUAUGUCUAAGACACUAUUUGGGGGGAAGAUUAAAUAUUGCUAAAUUGAGUACUGCCGAUCUUAAUAACUUAACAACUUGAUUAAGUGUCGUUGAACAUGUAUUAUGCCUGUAUGGUCUAAAAUGGAAAGUGUAUUGGUGUAAUCUGCUAGUGAAAUUGCUUACAUGUUUAAGUAAACUUGUUGUGAUUUGUUUGCCCGGCUUUAACCAUCUGAGAGUAAAUAUCUUUACUUGUUGUCUCAUGUCUGUAUGACAUUGCUGUUUAUAGAGGACACUAAUCAUUAAUCUGAAGUUGUGUGGAACUGAUAACUUGAAAACCUGAUAGACUACAACUAGAUGUCAUGCCAUUAGGCCUAAACAACACUAAAACUAACCUUUCUAUUUACAUUUAGGCCUCUGCUGGUUGAUAUCUCUUUGGGAAGUCUGAAUUAGGUUGUUAAUAUAAGUGUUUAGUAAAGAAGGGUCUCAGUUAUGUAUAUGCUUGCUCCAAACUAUUCUGAGACCGUAGAGCUGCCUAUUGACCUACUCUAUGUGACUUGAACCUGUUUCAAAAGAUCCUGAAAUGUUUAACCUUCAAUAGAGUUAAUGAAACUAAUACAUAUGUCCUUCUUUGUCACUCACUGAUAUUAAGAUUACUUAAUGAGGUGUCUUUGAAUUUGAAGUGGUUAGCAAUAGGGCUUAUCUAUCGAUAGCAUACAGUCAACCUUCUUUGUUUGUCACUAAUCCUUAAUUGUGUUCUAUUAUUGAUCCUAUUUUGUGUACACCAAGACCUUAGUUGCCAUCAGAAUUUUAAUGAGCCAUGUUUAGUAACCUAUCCUUAUUAUUAUAACGACCCAACCAGUCGUUUUGAGAAUUUACAUUCCGUUCAGCUAUUUGAAGUCUUGAUCAGCAUCGUACGAUAUUUUAUGACUUGUGUGAAUCGUUAGUUUUUAUUUUUAGGUUAUUCAGAAUUGAUUUGGAAGACUGAUCUUAACUAGGAAGCUUUAAGCUGGAAGAGUUGAGCAAGUUUGACUUCUUAGUACUUGACCUCUGAUCAUAGUUUUGAUGUUUCCGUUAGGUCCAAUGGUGAUUUUAGACUUGGUCAUAUGCUUGGAUUUGAAUUUGGAUAUUUCUAGAAGGUUUCAACACUAUUUAGCGAAAGUUGGAAAUUUGAAGAUUUGAAAUGUUCAUAAGUUUAACUGGUAGUUGACUUUGAUGAUAUCGGGUUCGGAUUGUGGUUCCGGGAAUUGGAAUAGCUUCGUUAUUUUAUUUUGGACUUGUGUGCAAAAUUUAAGUUCAUUCUCAAUUGAUUUGAUUAGGUUCGGCACGAGUUUUGUUCUACGUUAUUUGAGGCCUCGAGUAAGUCUGUGUUAUGUUACGGGGCUUGUUGGUUUGUUCGGAUAGGGUCCCGAGGGGCUCAUGUGAGUUUCUGAUAGGCUUGGGUUCUGUUGCGCUCAUUUUUAAUAUUUCGACGUCGUUUAUUCUAGCAUAAAUGGUACCACAUUAAGAAACUGAGCUCCAAUUUCUGUUUUGAUUGAAGAAUUAGAUCCGUAUCAUAAUUCUAGAACAUAGAAACUAGAAUCAUCAAGUUUUGACAUCGUAUGAGGAAUUUAUAGUCAUUUCACUAUGAAUUGGGUUGACAAUUAUUUAUAGAUUAAUUACGAAAUUGCCACUGAUUUCGUAUUUAAAAAUCUGCACUAUUUUCAAAUAUUGAAACAUUAUAAGGUCAUUAUAAGGUCAAAUGGAGUGAUUUAAAAGCCUAACUUGACUGGAAUUGCACAAGAAAACCAUUGGAGGCAUCAAAAGCGAAUUCCGGGAUCGUUUGUCAUAAGAAACGAGGCAGAACAACUAGGUAGAAACAUAUAGUAUCAUGGAUUUGUCCAUUUGGUCAUAUUUUGACUUGGGGAGGUCGGAUUUGGGCGAUUGUGGAGGCGAUUUUCACCACAUGGAUUGGGUUUUGAGUCGUUCGGAGAAUGGUACGCAUGGGAUGGCAUUUCUAGAGUAUUGUUUAGCUUGCUCGGUAUUGGAUUUGGCUUGUUCGAGGUAAGUAACACUUCAAAACUUGGUACUGAGGGUAUGAAUCCCUAAAUAUACAUGUUAUGUAUUAGUAUUGAGGUGACGCACAUGCUAGGAGAUGGGUGUGUAGGCUUGCACCAUGUGAAUUAUGACUCGGUUGAUUCUAUGGUACUGUGUAGUUAUCUAUCUUGUUUCUUUACAUGUAAUUCCUAUGUGUUGGAGUAAUUGAGUUGUGAUCAAUGUUAGAAAUCAUGUUUAGGUCAAAUAAUUAUUUUAUUAGGACCCAAUGAGGUCAUUUCUGCUGUUGAGUUAUUUGCUUAAAUUGCAAUCAAAUACUCAGUCAUAUUCAUUUAUUUGCAUAUCAUAUCUCAGUCUAUGUUAUCAUUUGUUGUCACAUCAUCUUAUCAUUUUUUAGGCUAAUUGGCAUGAGAUCUUUGAGCCCAAUAGACUGGAGUGAUUGAUGACUGAGUGAGGCUGAGGUCCUGAUUAUGAGUGAUAUUUAUGGGAUCUGGCUGCACGCCGUAGCAUGAUUUAUUGAUUCAUGAUGGGAUCGGGAUGUACGCUGCAGCAUGCCAUGAUUGUCUUAUAUUAGCGAUUGGGCAGGAUCCUCCCCUUCGGAGUCAAACAUACGAGUGCAAGUGCCAAGUGAUUGAGAGUGCCGAGUGAUUGGGAGGUGCUUAGUGAUUGAGAGUGGUGAGUGAUUAGGAGGUGCCGAUUGCUGAGUGUGGUUGAAUACUCCGAGAGUAUGAACAUAUGAGUUAUCACUGUGGUGCAUUACAUUUGACAUGUGUACUGGACAUGGAGGCACAAAGAUGCAUUUCCUCAUGUUAUACGGUAUUGUGAUGUUUAUGACUUUUCAUACACAUUGACAUGUAGGCAUAGAGAUGUACUUUCCUCAUGCUAUCUGAUAAUGGAACAUCUUAUCUAUUGUCGAAAGUUUCUUAGGAAAAAUAAAUGUUUUUAUGACGUACUCGCAUUUUGGCGACUUCGGUGAAAGAUUCGUGUUUUACUGUUAUACCUUAAAAGCAUGCUAUUUUCCAUAACUAUGAGCGAGCUGAGAAACAUAUCUUUGAAUAUUACUUGUGUUGUUUCAUUAUACUGGUACGAGUUGUUCUUGGCUAUUGGUAUUAGACUCUGACCGUUGUCCAAGCUCGUCACUGCUUUCAACCUAAAAUUAGGUUUAUUACUUAUUGAGUACGCGUGGUCCAUUGCACUCAUACUACACUUCUGCACCCCGCGUGUAGAAUUUGGAUUUGAUGUUGGUGUGCAUGGCGGAAGCUGGCAUUGAAGAUGUACCUGCGUUCCGGUUGUAGGUGCCUCUUGUUCACGGUUGCGUUAGAUUUAUAAAAACAAAUUAUGUAUAUUUCGAACAUAUGAUGUAAUUAUUUCAUACCAACUUUGUAAACUCUAAAUUUUAGAAGCUCACGAUUUGUACUACAAAUCCUUGUGAUUUUUGUAUAAAAGUUCAGUUAUUUUAUCAUUUAUUUUUUCAGUAGAUCUGCUUGAGUUGGAUUAUUAAUAAAUUGGCUUACCCAGCGGGUUGGGUUAGGUGGCAUCAUGACUAGUUGGAUUUUGGGUCGUGACAAUUAUGUUGUGUUCUAUCAAGAGUAUUUCAAGUCCAAUAAUGUGUAAAAACCUUACUUGUCUAUCGAUCAGUAUACCAGUAAUGGCUGUAAGGCCAGAUAUGAUAGUUUGAUUGAUGUUUUCUUGUAUGGUUGACUCUUCUUUAUAUGUUUUGUUACAUUAGUUGAGCUAUUGUAUUAACAUUUAUUUGUGUCUAAAACUUUGAGGAGUAGGGAGUUAAUGAUUAAUGGUACUUGGGUGCGAGCUUGGUUUGUGGCAUAAGCAUUGCUCGGGAUCCCUAAGACACUUGUGAACUCUGAAGUGUUAGGGGUCCAUAGGCGACUUCAUAAAUAAAAUUUGGUUCACCCUAAGCCUUUGGUCAUUAACCUCAACUAAUCUUCAUUGGGUUGGAACAAAUGAAAUUUAAAUCUUACACUUUGGAUCUUAUUUACUUGUUCUGAUUUGAUCUUAUUUUCACCUUAUAUUGAUAUACAUUAAUUUUCCUCUUGUUCUUAUGUAUGCAUGUUCAAACAGGGCCUGUUCAGUUCAUUUGGAACUCAGGCCCAUAUUCCAGACCUGGGCCGCUUCCUCUACACUUGUUGAGUCAGCCGCUAAUUUAAACCUCACUGGGCCUCGCCUGCUUACUAGCCGUAUUCCACAAGUCCAGCUUUUCUUCCUCUACUUUUAAUGAUAGCCGCUAUUAUUUGUUGCUUCUGUGUAUGUACAUCUUUGGAAAACUAACACUAUUUAUUGAUGCUUACCGCUAACGAAUUUCAAUGGCUUUAAGUUUUGACAGAUUCAAAAUGAAUAAAUCUCCUUGGAAAAUCUUCAAAUGGAUCCCGUAUAAUACAAAAUCAUUUCAAAAUAAAAGCAGUCACACACACAACCAAGUUUGUAAGAAAUAACAAAUGAGCUUGAAGAUACAAAGGCCUUCUACUAAAGCAAUCUUCUAAAAAAGAACAAGGUAUACCCGCUUCAACCAAAAAAACAUAUUUUUUGAGGUAAUCUCUUGUUCCAUAAGUUAUAAAGUCUCACAAACAAAUAUUACUCUUUCAAAAGGAAAUACACCACCUUUUCCUAAAAAAUAAGUUUUCAAAUAAGGCUUAAAAAAUUUUUUCUAAAUUUUACUUAGCAACAUUAACCACUAAUCAACUGGAAUAUAGACAUUGCUUUCCCCAAACCUAACCUAUGUUUAAGGAGCUACCUCAGGUAGAUUUUAAGGGAUGCCUAACCCCUUCCCCUUAUAAUAACUAGAACCCUUACCCAAAUCUUACCCGUUAGUAAACUAUUAGGAUAAUAUUUUUCAGAAAUUUAUAGGUACCAUAAUAUACCUUAAAAUAUUAGGUGGUGACUCUUUUAUCAACUUUAGAAGAACCAUUAGUUGUAUUUUAUUUUGACCUGUGCAAAAUAUGAUGCAACAUGGCUGAUAUUUUGUUCACAUAUAUGUUUUCUUAAAAUUCUGUCAUUUAAUUUGAUUAGUUAUUAGUUAAAUUUGACAUGGCUUCAUAUGCCUUCUCUUCUUUUUGAUGAUUUGUUGACAAAGAUGGAUUCUUAUACGUUGAGUUGCUAUCACAUGUUCUAACGUGAUUGUUAGUACUAUUUUCUAUUACAUAUUAUAUUGCUAGUUAUUCAUACAUUCCAUAGGUUAUUUGACUAGUGAGUAUCACGUGACUUGAACCUCGUCAUUACUUCAUCGAGAUUAGUCUUGAUACUUAAUGGACCGAUCAUGGUGUACUCAUACUACACUUUUACACAUUUUUGUGUAGAGUUGGAGGAGACGGAUAUUGAGAGUGAGAGCUUGCAUUGAUCGUGAGGAUUAAAGGUAGAGCUGCAUAUUUUCACAGUCCCUUGGAGUCUCAUCUGUUAUUUUGAUACUGACUAUUUAUAUUUGAACAGUAUUGUAUUUUGAAUAUAUUCAGCUAGAGAUCAUGACUUUGUACUACCUAGUUCUGGGAAGAGGUUUGAGUAUUGCCAUUUCUGCUCUUAUAUUAAAAUAUGCCUUUAUGUUAUUGCUUUAAUGUUGUUAAGUGAUCGGCUUACCUAGUCUUAGAGACUAGGUGCCAUCCUAUGAUAGGAUUUGGGUCGUGACAUAUUCUUAUGAGAUCAAGCCAUUCGCCUCGGAAGAAUCGUGCGUAAUAUCUUUAUAGGGAGUCUAUGCGUAUAUGAGUAUCCUUGCUCAGAUUUGACAUUUAUAUUGGAUACUGGUCACAUACAUUCCAUUCGAGGUAGUAUUUGGUAUUCAAUUAUUUCCUAUUUGUUCUUUUGUUGAGGAUCAUGUCAUACACAUUUAUUUGUUUCAUUGCUACCUGGUAUUCUUCAUACCUAUCUAAUUUUAUUGUACUUUGAUUAUUGAACCACUAGUAAGUGUCGAUGUCGACCACUCACCACUACUUCUUCGAGAUCACACUAAAUACUUAAUAGGUAUGUGUUGAUUUACAUACUCGUAUUACACUUCUGCACUAAUUGUGGAGGUAGUGAGACGGGAAAAUUUGGUGGUCAUACAGGGUAGGCGCAGCUUCUUAGGAGACUUUGCGGUGAGCUUUUUUUUUUUAUGUUACGAUGCGCAAUACACAUAAUCCCCUUCCUAUUCAUUUACUGUAUACUAUAUAUUUCCCAUUCCAGACUGUUGUUGUAUUAGUAUUGUAUAUUCCAGUUGAUGUUCAUGUACUUGUGACGCCGAGUAUAUUUCAUUAUUGUUCAUGGAUGUCUUUCUGUUAUGACAUUCAGUUUUAUGUGUUGAUCAUAUUCAAACCUCGUAGAUGAUGUCAGUAUUCUACUAUAAAAAUGGAACGACUCUGCUUAUUUAUUCCAUCACUUGUUACAAAAUAUGUUAUGAUCUAUUGAUCGGUGUGUUGAUUUAUCUUUGGCUUGCCUAACGGCAGUGUUGGUCGCCAUAACUGCCUAGGGUGGGAAUUUGUUCGUGACACUAAAUUGCAUAUAUACUGUGUCUCUAGCUUUUGUACUUAUUUGAUGAUACCAUUCCUUAUUUCAUAUUUUAUUUGUGCUUUCACCUAAUUAUCGGACUGUUAGUAACUGUCGAUAUCGACCCCUCGUUAAUAAUUAUUUAAGGCUAUACUUGAUACUUACUAAGUACUAUGGUGUUAUACUCAUACUAAACUUCUUCAUAUAAUUGUGCAGGUUCUGAGGGAGGUACUAGUGGUACCCAUACAGCCGAGUAGGAGAUUAUUUUGGAACCUUUGUGGUGAGCUGCUUUACAUGAUUCGACAUGUAACACACAGAGUACCCCUUUCCUACUUCUCUAUUUAUGUCUAUGUAUUUUUUCUGUAUAGACGUUAUUUGUCAAUUGUAACUAGUUACUCUUAUUAGAUGCUCGUAAUGGGAUGACACUAGAUAUUGGGAUGUUAUGAGACAGUUGUGUUCAUGUUUUGACCCUGCCUUAGAUAUUAGUAUUUUUAUAUAUUGACUUGAGACUUAUUCUAUGUUAUUCUACAUAUCAUGACUCUGUUAAUGACCAAAUAAUUAGCUUUUAGAAUUGUUGUUGUGUGUUGGCUUGCCUAGCGAGCGGGUUAAGUACCAUCACGGCCUUUGGUUGGAUUUUGGGUCAAGACAAGUCAACUCCAACAACAUAAGAUCUCUAGAAUUAAAAUUUCUCUUUUAAAACACAUCAAAACUCUCCGAAAAUCGAAACAAAUAAUGCACACAAGUCAUAAAAUAUCACAUGAAGCUAUACAAUAUCUCAAAUCAGUAAAUGUAAAGCUAGAACUCAAAAUGGUCUAUCGGGCUGUUACUUAGAGGUGAUUUCAUAAGGAAGAACGAUUUUGGAGCUAUAGACUGUCCCGGAUGAGUAAGUGUCUUACCUAGAUUUGGUUUGAAGGAAUUUUCCUAAUAAAUAAUCAUGUUUGUUGUAUGUGGGGCGGACACAUAUGUAAGGACCCGUAAAAAGUUUAACCAAAAAACUCAAGGUUUCGUGGUGCCAAGUUAGAUUCCUGCGUUAUUAGAUUCCAAGUUAGUUCGGACUUUUUGGAUUGAACAGUACCCUACGUGCUGGGAGAAAAAUAUUUCGCAAAAGAAUGCGUUUCUGCAGCCUAUUAUGCGGUCGCAUAAUCACUCUGCGGAUCGCAUAAUGGCCGCAGAGUGAAGCUGUACGUUGGCCAGUUCGAGGUCAGCUUUGCAGUCGAUUAUGCGACCGCAUAACCACUAUGCGGACCGCAUAUCGAUCGCAUAAUCCCUCUUGGGUUUUUGCGGAGGGAGUUUUGCGAUGCAUUAUGCGACUGCAGAACGAGUAUGCGGACCGCUUACUGGUCGCAUAUCUGAGCCGUAAGUUCGGGCCCCUGAGGGCCAUUUCUUGCGGUCACUUUGCGGAUCGCAUAAUCGUUAUGAGCAGACCUGUGUCGGGACACCCAUUUUCUUAAUUUAAAACCCGACCCACAUUCCAUUAAAACACUCCCUUUAGUCUAUUUUGAACUCAUUUUUCUGAUACUAUAGAGUGAGAGAGGGAGAGUUAGAGUGAGAAAGUAAUCCUCAUCAAUUAUUCUUCAAUUCUUGCUUGAAACAUUGAAGAUUAUCAAGGAAAGCAAUCUAGGCCUCCAUCCUAGAGGUAAGAAUCUAUACCCUAGCCCUAAAUUUUUGAAACUUAUACUAAAAAUGAGUAAUUAAUAAGAUGGUCCAUGGGAUGAGGGUUGUUUUUCUUGCAUGCAUGUGUGGUAAAAAGAGUGUGGAAAAGGAAACUAGAACCAUGAAAGUUUUCCUAAUUUUGGGUUCAAUUUGUAAAUUGCUAAAAUAGAUUGAGAUUGCUAAGGGUUCCAGAUAAUUGUAGAGUCUAAAGAAGUACAAUUGAGAUAUGUAUGGCUAACUCUCUUCUUCCUAGAAUCGAACUCCUGGUAUCCGAAUAUUUGGUGUAUGUUCUGACUUAAUCAUACUAGAAUUGUUUUCCUUAGUGUGUUGGGUUGGAAGAUUCAUGUUCCCUAAUUGUUUUAGAUGUUUACCAUGUCAUCAUGCUAUUUGAGAACGUGACUAUGAUUUUCCAAGCUCCUUCUAUUAUGUGUGAAAUGCCUUAUGUGAUGGUACUUAUCGACAUGAAUGAUGACGUUACUUGAACGAAUAAAAAGAGAAAGACUUGAAUGGUAAAAUGUUCCAAGAACUAUUUAAUAAAUGAGGCUGUUUGUGGCAUGUAAUAAAAGAUGGGAAAGAGAUGCGAAUUGAGUGAAUACUUGAAAGAGGUUAUGUCUCAUGUGAGAUGGCUUAGCCGAUCGGCCAAGAUGGGACACCAUGCCGUACACAUGGUGGCAUUUGUGUUGGAAUUAUUGAUUUACAUUGUGGAUAUGGAUAUGUCUCACUUGGGAUGAUUUAGCCGGUCGGGCCGAGACCGGACUNNNNNNNNNNNNNNNNNNNNNNNNNNNNNNNNNNNNNNNNNNNNNNNNNNNNNNNNNNNNNNNNNNNNNNNNNNNNNNNNNNNNNNNNNNNNNNNNNNNNNNNNNNNNNNNNNNNNNNNNNNNNNNNNNNNNNNNNNNNNNNNNNNNNNNNNNNNNNNNNNNNNNNNNNNNNNNNNNNNNNNNNNNNNNNNNNNNNNNNNNNNNNNNNNNNNNNNNNNNNNNNNNNNNNNNNNNNNNNNNNNNNNNNNNNNNNNNNNNNNNNNNNNNNNNNNNNNNNNNNNNNNNNNNNNNNNNNNNNNNNNNNNNNNNNNNNNNNNNNNNNNNNNNNNNNNNNNNNNNNNNNNNNNNNNNNNNNNNNNNNNNNNNNNNNNNNNNNNNNNNNNNNNNNNNNNNNNNNNNNNNNNNNNNNNNNNNNNNNNNNNNNNNNNNNNNNNNNNNNNNNNNNNNNNNNNNNNNNNNNNNNNNNNNNNNNNNNNNNNNNNNNNNNNNNNNNNNNNNNNNNNNNNNNNNNNNNNNNNNNNNNNNNNNNNNNNNNNNNNNNNNNNNNNNNNNNNNNNNNNNNNNNNNNNNNNNNNNNNNNNNNNNNNNNNNNNNNNNUCUUUCCGAACCGCACGAUCCCCUUCAUGGGAGAUACAUUCAAGAACACCCAAUCAUCUUCCUUGAACUCUAAGUCUCUGCGACGAACAUCUGAGUAGGAUUUUUGAUAACUUUGAGCAGUUUUCAACCAUUUUUUUAUGAUCUUAACCUUUUCCAUAGCCUGAUGCACAAGGUCUGGUCCUAUUAGUUUGGCAUCUCCAGCCUCGAACCACCCAAUCGGCGAUCUACAUCUUCUACCAUACAAGGCCUCAAACGGCGCCAUCUGAAUACUGGCAUGGAAGCUGUUGUUAUAAGUAAAUUUUAUGAGCGGCAAAUGAUCAUCCAAGCUACCCUUGAAGUCAAGCACCCACGCACGAAACAUGUCCUCAAGUGUUUGAAUAGUCCGCUCUGCUUGCCCGUUAGUUUGCGGAUGGAAGGCCGUGCUAAGAUUUACCUGCGUGCCCAAACCUUGCUGAAAUUUCUUCCAGAAAUUAGCUAUGAAUUGGGCCCCUCGAUCGAAAAUGAUGAAAACUGGAGUGCCAUGAAGACUGACUAUUUCCUUGAUAUACAAUUGAGCAUAUUGUUCCGCAGUGUCGGUGGAUUUAACUGGCAAGAAGUGCGUUAAUUUCGUGAGUUGGUCCACGAUCACCCAAAUUGAGUCAAACUUACGCGGAGUGUGCGGUAACCUAACCAUAAAAUCCAUAUUGAUCAUUUCCCAUUUCCUCAUUGGAGUUUCUAUACUCUGUGCUAACCCACAAGGCCUUUGAUGCUCGGCCUUCACCUGUUGACAGUUUGAACAUUUUUCCACCAAGUCUGCCACACCCCUCUUCAUGUCAUUCCACCAGUAAAUUUCCUUGAGGUCAUGAUACAUUUUCGUAGAACCUCGUUUGGAACACAUAGUCGUCCUUGGUACCGUAACGUACCGUUAUCCAUGAAAAGAGAAAAAGCAGUAGCCUUAUGUUUAUGAAUCCCUUCUUUCAGUUGCACCAACACUGGAUCAUUGUAUUGCUUCUCCUUGUCCUCCGUCACAAGCGAUGAUUCCGCCCUAUUCCGCACAAUCAAUCCCCCUUCUUUAGAGUCCGCAAGACGAACUCCUAAACUGGCCAACUGGUGAACCUCCCGGGCCAAGGGCCUUUGACAUGCCUCCAAGUGAGCCAAACUACCCAUAGAUUCCGACUAAGAGCAUCCGCCACCACAUUAGCUUUCCCCGGAUGAUACAGAAUGUCGAUGUCAGAAUCUUUGAGCAACUCAAGCCACCUUCUUUGCCUUAAGUUCAAUUCCUUCUGCUUAAAAAUGUAUUGGAGACUUUUGUGUUCCGUGAAUACAUCUACAUGGACUCCCUACAAAUAAUGACGCUAAAGUUUUAAUGCAAAAACCACUACCUCAAGCUCUAAGCCAUGAGUUGGGUAGUUCUUUUCAUGAUUCUUAAGUUGCCUUGAAGCAUAUGUUAUUACCUUACCAUGUUGCAUUAAUACACAUCCAAGACCGAUCCUUGAAGCAUCGCAAUACACCACAAACCCCUCGGUACCCUCUGGCACGGUCAAUACCGGUGCCGAAGUCAACCUUAAUUUCAAUUCCUGGAAGUUCCUUUCACAAGCAUCGGACCACGAAACCACAAAACGCAUGAAUCUAUCUUGGCACCAUGAAACCCCGAGUUUUUGGUUUAAAAUUUUACGGGUCCUUACACUUCUCACCCUGAUAUUCAAUUGUUGCUACUAGUCAUUAAAGUGUCAUUAGUUUCUUACAAUUGAUAAUCUUAGUUUUAUGUGUAGUCGAUAAUAACAUCAAUCAAAGGUUUAUUAUAUUGGAUAGUGUUGAGCUGAAGAUUUAUUAGAACAUUAUUUAAACCAAUCCCUAUGUAGACGAUUUGAUACUAUACUAUCUUUGAAUAGUGAGCCUAAGUUUUAUACACCGGUUUUGCGCUCGUCAAAUUUUGGCAUCAUUGCCGAGGAUUGGCGAUUAAUAAUAUUUAAGUUAAUUUUAAGUGCUACUUCAGGAACAACAUUAUUUAUUUUCCCUUUUUAUGCUCUUCUCAUCUGUGUGCAGGCAACAAGCUAAGUUCAAGGGUGUAUGACUCGAUCCUCUUCAAAGGAUUUGGUGCCAUACGACCUAGAGUUAGACAAGCACCUGAGGUAGUUGAGGAGAGAGGAAGGAUCGAGUGGAUUAUUGUUGGGUCAGCCUUCAACUCAAAAUACAAUGGUGAACAACGAAGAGGUAGUGGACCUAGCUACGAGAGAGGCGGCUGAACAACAGGAAGCACGGCUAGUAGCUGAAGCAGCCCAUAGAAUUGUGGAUGAAUUGGUUGAUGGGGAACGAAGGUUCAAUUCCAAUCGAAACAUGAUCGAAGAUGAAUUUUAAAAUGCAGCUCCUAUACCUGGGAGGUCGCUAGGAGAUUAUGCCAUACCGGUGUACAACCAACAAGUCCAGUGGGAGACCCCCACCCAAUGAUGCCAAUAAUUUUGAACUCAAACAAGGAGUCAUCUAGACCAUUUAGAAUAAUUGCAUAUUCAUAGGGAAACCCAAUGAAGAUCCCAAUAACCAUCUGAUGGACUUCGAUGAAAUUAUGAACACAUUCAGUUAUAAUGGAGCAUCACAUGAUACCAUCUACCUCAGAGCAUUCCCGUUAUCUCUUAAGGAUGAUGCAAAGCAAUGGUUAAGAAGUCUGCCCACAGGGUCGAUCUGUACAUGGGAGGAGAUGACUACCAAGUUGUUAGAAAAAUAUUUCUCUGCCGCUAAGACUGGACGAAUAAGGAAAAAGAUGCACAAUUUCAGCAAAGGUUAAGGGGAGACAAUGUUCGAGGCAUGGGAAAGAUUUAAGGAGCUAUUGCGGAGGUGCCCUCGUAAUACGAUGGAGCAAUGGAUGCAACUCCAGGACUUUUGGGAUGGUUUAAACCCAUCAUCAAGGAGAUUGCUGAAUAGUGCGGUAGUCGGCCCUCUGAUGAAGAAGACUCCUGAAGAGACUAUAACUCUUCUGAAUGAACUAUCUGAAGAUGCAGAACAAUGGUCCACUGAUCAAGGAAACCGAAAAGGAUCAGCAGGGGUGCACCAAGUAGAAUCCUCGGUAGCAAUGCGGGCCCAUAUUGCAGCUAUGGCUAAAGACAUCAAUCAAAUGACGCUAGCUCAGGUGCAAAAUAAACCACAUAUGGGAUGUGACAUUUGUGGAUUGGGACACCCAACACAUGAGUGUCAAGCUACAGCUGAGGAAGUCAACAUUGUGGGGAACCAAGUAGGUGGUAAUUUCAAUUCUAUGGGACAGAGACAUCUAGGGUUCUCAUGAAGUUCUUCAACUGGUAGUUUGAAUUCAUGGCAGUAGCAAAAUCACAGAGCACCAGUGCAAGGACCUCCUGGUUUCCAAACUCAACAGAUGCAACCAUACUAACCUCCAUAGCCCAACAACUCAAGUUUGGAAAACCUAAUGAAGGCAUUUAUAAAUAAAUCCGAUGAGAAACUUAAGAUACAAGGGACUCCUAUUAGGAAGCAAGGCACUACCAUCCGGAAUCUGGAAAGACAAAUGGGGCAACUUGCAACAUUGUUGUUAGAAAGAAUGCCGGGGACUUUUCUGGCAUACACUAAAACGAAUCCAAAAGAGACAAUCAAAGUUGUGUCUCUCAGGAGUGGGAAAACAUUAGCAGAGCCAAAGGAAAAACCAAAGGAUGAGAAAGAGAUCAACUUAACCAAGAUAGCUAAAGAACAGAAAAUUGGUGAAUCUUUGCCCAAGGAGAAUGUUAGUAGCAAGGAUGUUGAUAAGCAGAAGAUGAACAAUGCUGUUGAGGAAAGCAAGCAUAUUCCAUUUUUACUUUUUUCUCAAAGUAUGAAGCGGGAGAAAUUAGACAAAUGCUUUGGGAAAUUCUUGGAGAUGCUGAAACAGUAGUAUGUGAACAUCCCGUUCACGGAGGUGCUCACACAUAUGCCGGACUAUGGAAAAUUCCUGAUGGAAAUCUUCUCAAGAAAAAAGAAACUCGAGGAAACGAAGAUGGUCAAACUCAAUGAUCGCUGCAAUGCCACUCUACAAAACAAAAUUCCCAAGAAAUGUGGGGAUCUUGGCAGUUUCACUAUAACCUGCUCGUUGGAUAGUGAACAUUUUGACAAAGCCUUGUGCGAUUCAAGUACAUCCAUUAACUUAAUGUUAUUAUCGAUGUUCAAGAAAUUGGAAGGAGUGCUAGGAGUAAUCAAAUCUGUGCCGGUAUCCUUGCAGCUGGAGGAUUAGACCACGAUCAUACCAGAGGGCAUAAUUGAGGAUAUUCUGGUAAGGGUAGAUAAAUUUGUUUUCUCAUUAGACUUCAUUGUGGUAGAUAUGGAAGUGAAUAAGGAGGUACCUUUAAUCUUGGGGAGACCAUUCCUUUGCACUAGCCGGGAUAUUCUUGAUAUAUAUGAAGGGAAACUCAUGCUACGAGUGGGAAAUGAAAAAGUUAUAUUUCAAAUGAAGAGAAUGAUAAAAUACCCAUGUGAUGAGGCAUCUUCCUAUGCUUGUCUCAAACUAGAUGUGGUGGGAGAGUUAGCUGAACAACACAAACUGGAUAAGCUGGUAGGUGUCUUACUAGAGAGAUGCAUUAGUCAAUCAAGCACAAUAGAGAAUGAAGAUCAUGAGAUCAAGAAGGAAGUUGAGGCGCUGGAAGAUGAGAACCAGGUUGUAGAUGAAGAAGAAUUAUGGAAGUUAAAGUACUCCCGAUGCAUUUGAAAUAUGCUUUUUUGGAGACUAACAAUUUUCCCGUGAUUGUUGCUGAUAAUUUGACAGGUGAACAACAACACAUGCUUGUGGAGUUACUAUGGAAGCAUAAAAAGGCGAUCGAUUGGAGUAUAGCCGAUAUUCAGGGGAUCAACCCUGCAAUCUGCAUGCACAAGAUCCUGUUAGAAGAAGGGAGUAAACCAUUGGUGCAGCCGCAGAAAAUUGAACAAAAAUCUUGAGGUCGUUCAAAAAGAGAUACUCAAAUUUCUGGAUGCAGGCAUAAUAUUUUCCAUCUUUGGCAGUCAAUGGAUUAUCCCCGUACAGGUUGUGCCAAAAAAAGGGGGCAUGACGGUGGUAAAAAUGAGGACAACAAGCUAAUUCCGACAAGAACAAUUACUGGGUGGAGGAUGUGUAUAGACUACCAGAGAUUAAAUGAUGCAACAAUGAAGGAUGACUUCCCUCUUCCUUUCAUUGAUUAGAAGUUAGAUGAGGUGGGGGAGUAGGGGGGGGGGCGUGGAUGUUACUGCUUCUUAGAUAGAUAUUCAGGGUACAAUAAAAAUCCCUUUACCCUCGAGGAUGUUGAGAAAACCAUCUUUACUUACCCAUCCAGAAUCUUUGCAUACAGGAGAAUGCCUUUCGUACUAUGCAAUGCACGAACUACUUUCCAGAGAUGCAUGAUGUCAAUAUUUUCAUAUUUGAAUGGGAAGUGUCUAGAGGUGUUCAUGGAUGACUUUACUCUAUUUAGAGAUAACUUUGAAGACUGCUUGAGGAACCUCGAACUUGUUCUGAAACGAUGUGAUGACAUGGAUCUAGUACUGACUUGGGAAAAGUGUCACUUCAUGGUUUAGGAGGGGAUAGUCUUGGGCCAUAAAGUCAUAGCUGAAGGUAUUGAAGUCGACAGAGCUAAAGUAGAUUUGAUAGCCAAGCUCUAGUCACCAACCUCAGUGAAGAGUAUUAGAAGUUUUUUGGGGCAUGCCGGUUUCUAUAGAAGGUUCAUUAAGAAUAUUUCCAGCUCUACCAAGUCCUUAACUGCAUUACUUGCUAAGGAUGUGAAAUUUGUAUUUGAUGUGGAGUGUCUCAGAGCAUUCGAAAUGAUCAAGGAAAAGCUAGUGAGUGCUCCUAUAAUGGUGAGUCCUAAUUGGAGUGAGCCUUUUGAGAUAAUGUGCAACGCCAGUGAUGUGGAAGUAGGAGCAGUGCUGGGGUAGAGGAGAGAUAAAAUAUUCUAAACCAUUUACUAUGAAAGCCGGACCUUGAAUGAUGCUCAGGUGAACUAUGCUACCACGGAGAAGGAGUUCUUUGCAGUAGUCUUUGCUUUUGACAAGUUCAGAUCCUAUUUUGUGGGAAGCAAGGUAAUAGUGCAUACUGAUCACUCAGCGCUAGAAUAUUUGAUGAGUAAGAGAGAGUCCAAACCGCGUCUUAUGUUGUGGGUAUUGUUGCUGCAAGAAUUUGAUCUAUAAAUCAAGGACCGGAAGGGCACGGAAAAUCAAGUGGAUGACCACCAGUCGCGAUUGGACAAAACCACCAGUUAAAGUGGUGGACAUUCGGAAAGAUUUCCCAGAUGAGCAGAUUUUUUCCAUUGCAGCAGUCUCCGAUAGACCACCAUGGUUCGCCGACAUAGCCAACUUCUUGGCUAGUGGGUGGUUACCAUACGACUUGACCUCCGAUAAGAAAAGGAAGCUGCAAGGUGAAGUAAGAUGAUAUUUUUGAAAUGACCCUUUCUUGUUUAAACUGUGUGCAUAUGGUGUGAUUCAAAGAUGUGUGCCUGUAGGCGAGAUGGCAAGCAUUUUGUCUCAUUGCCAUGAUGGAGCAGCUGGAAGACAUUAUGGUGGAAAUCGCACUGCAAUAAAGGUCAUGAAAACCGGUUUCUUUUGUCCUACACUGUACAAAGAUGCGAGAGCGUAUGUAGCUGCAUGCGACAAGUGUAUAAGGGCAGGUAAUAUUAGCAAGAGGGACGAAAUGCCUCUCAACUCCAUUCUGGUAUGUGAAAUUUUUGACGUUUUGGGCAUUGACUUAAUUUGUCCGUUACCAUCGUCACACUCUCAUGAAUAUAUCCUACUAGUCGUUGACUAUAUCUCUUUAAGUGGGUCAAAGCAAUCCCUACUAGGACCAAUGAUGCUCGGGUGGUGUUUGAAUUCUUAAGGAAAAACAUCUUUACCUGCUUUGGGACACCUAGAGUGAUCAUCAGUGAUAAUGGGUCAUACUUUGUGAACAAGAAGUUUGCUGCAUUGCUGUCUAAGUAUGGGGCCACACACAAAACAGGAACCCCGUACCAUACCCACACUAAUGGGCAAGUCGAAGUGGAUAACCGUGAACUUAAAACGAAUUAUUGAAAGACGGUUAGUGUUUCUCGUAAGGAUUGGUCGGUAAAGUUGGAAGAAGCUCUAUAGGCAUACAAAAGUGCGUUCAAAACAACCAUAGGGACUUCACCAUUCAAACUAGUGUAUGGAAAAUCGUUUCACCUACCUUUUGAGAUAGAACAUAAAGUUUAUUGGUCAAUUAAGAUGCUUAAUCUUGAUCUUAGUCUUGUAGGUGAACAAAGGUUGGUCCAGAUGAAUGCAUUGGAGGAUUUUAGAUUGGACGGUAGAAAAUGCGUAUAUUUUCAAGGAAAAGACUAAAAGGUGGCAUGAUCCUCUAAUUAAGCCAAAGGAGUUUCAUGAAGGGGACAGAGUCUUACUGUACAAUAGUAGACUCAAAUUGUUCCCCGAAAAAUUUAUGUCUAGAUGGACGGGGCCGUGUGUGGUAAAACAUGUAUCACCAUAUGGGACAAUUGAGAUUCAGAACCACGAUGGAACAGAAUGCUUCAAAGUGAAUGGGCAUAUAAUAAAACCGUAUCUUACUGGAGGAUUUUCUCAGCAAUCCUUGAGCAUCAAAAUUAGUUGAGGAUGCCCGGUUGAGUCAAGCUGACGACUAUAACUCAAAACUACUUCGAACUCUUAUAUUAGUUAGAUUUUUCACUUUGAUUUAUAGUGUAGAAUAGAUAGAAAUUAGUGUAUAUUAUGAUGUGGUAGGUGCUGGAAGGUACAUGUCGCGGAUGCUAGAAAUUAAGGUGUCUAAAAGACCCCUUUUGAGUGUAUCCGUGCGAGACCGCGCACCUCGGGGGACACCUCGCGCAUUUGGUCAAGCAACAAGUAAUGUUAUACGAUGCGGGACAUGUGCAGCCGUGCAUCUAAUGGGGUGACCGCGCACCUGGUUGCGCACUUUCACCGGUGUACUGCCACACAUACGCGACCGCGCACCGACCGCGCAUCAGGUAAGUUUUUCCCUUUUCCUUUUAAUUUUGGACUUCCCCCUCUCAAAACCUCCAAUUCUAAAAUUUCCCCUUUUUUCCUCCUAAUUCGACCCCCCUUCUCUCAUCCCCUAUCUGUAAGACACACAUCACCACACCACCCCCUUCUCUUCACCCUUCACCCAACCUCACGAGUUGUCUCUCCCGAGUCCCCUCAGGUAAGUGAGAUGCUUUCUCUCUCUUUUUUCUCAGUUUAUUGUAUUUUAAUUUGCUUGUAUUGUAGUAGAUUUUUAUUUUUGUUUUCUUUCUUCUUAUGCUCCUUUUCUUGUGGGGUGCAAGAUGAGUUUCAACAUAGAGACUGACCAUAAAGUGGUUGGAUGUGACAUUGGUGUACCCUUAGUCUAAUUAGGGCUAAAAUUGAGUUGUGGGGGUUAGGAAUAACUGUGCUUGUUAUGAGUUUGUGAAAUUGCGUCAAUGAGAUUGUGUGUAAUAUUGUGACCAAGUGUAAGGGUGAAAUCUGAGGAGCCUCUCUUGGUUUUGUGAUUCAAUAGCUAAUAGUUGGCGGUUUGUUAUAGGUACUACGGUGCCAUCCAAGAAAUAAAAAAACACAGGUGCCUCCAUAAGUGGUCAAGCGGGCACAUCCCGGUCACCAGCUUUAGUAUCUGCUUGCCCGUAUGAUAAGAACAAGUUCAUCUCUUGGAAAGCCCAGGAAUGAUUCCAACACAAGUCAAGCAAGAAGACUAUACUGGAUAGGGGAAUUGAUAUUGGGUCCCUCCAGAAUGACUGUCCCCGUGUGUAUCAUGAAUUGGUCAAGCGCGGUUUGGGGAUAUUCUUUGAAGAACCUGACGAGGCGAACUUAAUGGUUGUUCGGGAGUUUAAUGCAAACUACCCGGAACAUGAUGCCCAUGUCUGCACAGUCAGGAAGAAGAGAGUGGACUUCUCCAAAGAAGCCAUCUGAAAGGCCUAUCAUUUGCCGGAAUUCAUGGAAGAUCCGGAUACAUGUGACUAAUAUGCCACGCACAGCAUAGAACCAUACAUGUGGCGCCUAUUCCUUGCAACCCUUUGUGUACCUGGCAAGGUGGCUCUACAUUAACAAUAACCACCUACUGCCUUCAGGAAACACCACUGAUGUGAAUGGUCCUCGGGCGGUUCUGAUUUGGUGCUUUGUCAAUAGCCACGAUUUUGAUGUGGCUUAGAUCAUUCAGGCCAAGAUGUUGAUUCGCUGUCCGGUGUAGAGGUAUGGGUUCUUUUUCCCAUCAUUAGUCACUCGGUUAUGUCAUGGGGAAGGAGUACCGGAAAACAAGGACUUGGAUGGAAAAGUAAAGCGCGAACAUAAAUUUAGGGUUGAUAAAGUUGUAAUCGGGAAGGACCCUGCUGGGCCCGCUGAGGCGGAUAGCGAGAAAUCUGAUGAGCUCGAAGAGGGCAAUGAGGAUGUCACUGCAUCUCCGCCACAUGACUCGGGUGUUGGGGUAACUUCAUGUGGAGGCUGGUACACAAGAAUGAGCGCUUUAGUGCAGGAAAUGGCCAGUAUGCGUACCUCUAUCAUUGACUUGGGAGCUCGAGUGGACGCUCUUGCUACACAGAAUGCCAAAUCCAAGAGGAAGAUCAUUGCAUGGCUGUGUGCACUUGGCCGGGCUUGUGAUCUGGACCCCAGAACUGUCUCCGACACGGUGUGACUUGAUCAGGGGAGUUUUCUUCAACUUUGCAUUUUUCUUUGUGUUUCAUGGGGACAUACCACAACUUAAAGUGUGGGGUGGGGGAUAAUUGUAUGUUGUAUGUAUAUGAGUUUUGUUUUUGGUAGUUGUAGUUUGUUGUUGUUAGUUGAGGGAUUAAAGUCGAUAGAAAAAGAUAAAAAGACAUUCCCUUGUUAGGUAGUGUAUUAAUUCCCCCUUGGUUUUUCUUUGUGCCGCGGUUCUUUUCCAAAAGUUUUGAUUGAACCAAGUGUAGUUAGUUUUUUUUUGGGGACCCUUAGCUCUUAUUUUAAUGGAAUGAAACAUCUCUUUACUCUAUUAUGCUUUAAGAAUAGUGAGUGCUCUAGUUAUGACGUUUAUCUUGAGUGAGUAUUAUCUUGAGUGAGUAUGUGCCAUGUGUGGGUGAGGUUUAUAUUAUUCAUUGCAUUGCAUUUGAUGUGUAGAACUUGUCGUGUGUAUUUGUAAAGCGAAAUAGUAGUUUAUUCAGUCUUGGAAGUGAUAUAGGCAUUUCUUUGUUAGGCCAGAUAUAGGCCUUAUCCGCCUAAUUGUUAUGUAUCUUAGUUAACCCCUUUGAGCCUAUAAUCUUGUUUCUUUGGCAACCACAUUACAAGUUUUACCCAUUUUUUCAAAUUGAAGGGUGGGGUGAUUGGUUUGGCUUUUGAAUGGAACUAAUGAAAUAAGGAGACAGGUGCGCUAUUUUGAAAAAGUAAGAGCCACUUGGAUUGAAAAAAAAGAAGAACGAAAAAAGUGAAUUGUUUUGCAAAAUAUUUUUUCAUAGUGGUAACCAUUAAUGUAAUUGUGAUUAAAGAAGUAGGGAGUUAAAAUAUAUAUUGAUGUGAAGGUAGAGUAUGGUUUGACAUGAGUGUGGGGUAUUGAAUGGUUAAGUAUAUGUAUUAAAAGUGCUUAGGGAGGUGUAGUCACUCUCAUAUCAAAAUGUAUCCUAUAUGUCCCGCAGCCUACAUUACAACCAGUUAAAGUCCUAAUUGAUCAUUGACUGAAUGAACUCAAUUAGUAGAGUAGUACACUAUGGGCAAGCCUAUGGUACGUCUUUUGUAGCAUAUGAAUUUUAUUUCUAUGAGUGAGUGAAUUCUUACUAUCUUGAGUUCCUAAUUGAUCUUAAUAUUUUUUCUAUGUGGAAUUACUCUCUAUGGUUGUGUGAGGAAACUGGAUUCACGAAUGAAAGGUAAUGCUUGACCUCUAUAUUAGAGUAAGUGAGAGGGUUAUAGAUAAUGCUUGGUGCUUUUGAGUAAAUCUUGAGGUUAAGAUGUUAUGAUAUUGUACUUAGUCUAUUUUAAAGAGUCUUGGUGUGAUGAGUCUUGAGUGUUGUUGAAAAAGGGCGUAUUCUAGGUGAAGUGUAGUUUGAUUGCUCGAGGACGAGCAAUAGUUUAAGUGUGGGGUGUUUAUGGUAGGCUAUAAUAGCGUAUUUUGGCAACUAAUUGCACUAUAAUUCGCUGCACUUUAAUAGUGUUUGAGCUUUAAAUUGUAUUAUUUCGCACUGAGUCUUGAGUUUUGUUCGCUGCACUUUACCGAUACAUUGAUACUAGUCAUUAAAGUGUCAUAAGUUUCUUACAAUUGAUAAUCUUAGUUAUAUUUGUAGUGGAUAAUAACAUCAAUCAAAGGUUUAUUAUCCUGGAUAGUGUUGAGCUAAAAAUUUAUUAGAACAUUAUUUAAACCAAUCCCUGUGGAGACGAUUUGAUACAAUACUAUCUUUGACUAGCGAGCCUAAGUUUUAUACACCGGAUUUUCGCUAGUCAGUGUCCGCAGAAUAGGUCUCGCAAGUGCGGAGCUCUUAAUGAAGUUGCGAGGGGUCGGGAAGUUAAUGAAAUUUCGCACUUGCGAUGGUGAAUCUGUAGGUGCGGCGCCGCAGGUGUGACUUUGAGGGUCGCCAAAGCCAGAUCGCUGGGAAGUGAUUUAUAUCGAAGCGUUUAGUGGUUUUUCUCAUUUUGGGGAUUUUGAAGUUCUAACUAGGGCAAUAUCUUUUGAGAUUUCCACCUAGAUUGAAGAGGUAAGUGACUGUUAAUUACUUUUUUCUAUAAAUAUUGAAUACCCAUUGAUUAUUACACCCAAUUUUCAUGUAUGCAUUCCCCUAGGGUCACCCUCUCAUGUUUCUCUUUGAUGAUGUACACGCAGAUAUUGAGGAAAACGGAUAAGUGGUUUGGUUCAAACAAGGAAAAGUUGAGGAAAUCUGGCCAGUGUUUGUUUGGAAUUUGCAUUUCAUCUUUACUUGCAAUUUUCAUGUUUAAUUACCUGAUUUAACCGCACAUCUUCUGUAUAAGCUAGACAUUGACUAAACUGAGUAUUUGAGUAACUGCACACACACACAAAUGCUUUUUCAUAUAUUUUAUGAUUUGAUUUCAUUAUUGUUCUGUACUUGUUAAAAUGACGAAACUGUACAGAUAAUAGCUAGUGUCAUUUAUAAUCCGUGCUUCUUGUACCUUGCCGGGGUUAGUUACGAUACUUAUUGAGUACAUUGGAUCGGUUGUAAUUGUGCAGAUAUAGGUGUGGGGACCAGUUAUCAGCAGUAGAUUUAUCUAUUGCACCCAGCUUCGAGAGGCGAGGUAGAGUUGCAUCCUUAGCAUCAGUUUUGUCUUGAUUUUUCUUAUGUACUGUCGUUUCAAUUCGAAUAGUAUUGUUAUUUAGUUUUUUAGACUUGCACUCCAUUAUAGAUUUCAUGUCUCUGUAUUUACCAGUUUCUAGGGGAUUUAUCUUGUAUUGGCAGUAUUUUGUUACAUUGAGGUUUCAGACUUAUGCUAUUUCUAUGAUUUAUGUUGUUUUGGCUCUUUAUUGUUAAGUUUCGGAUUGCCUAGCCGGUGUGUUAGGCGCCGUCACGGCGGGUUGGGAUUUUUUGGUCCUCACAGAAUCCCAAACGGACAUCGAUUACCACAAAGUCUACCAUGGGUCAAACAUAUGAACUUCUAAACCAUCAAAAUUCCAACUUUAGUCAAUUAGAGCCUAAUCAACCUAGGAACCCCUGAAUAUAAAUUCGGAAAUACACCUAAGACCAAAAUCACGAUUCGGACCUAAUGGAAUAAUCAAAACUUCGAUCCGAGAUCAAAUACACAAAGUCAAACUUGUUGAACAUUUAUAACUUAAGCUUCCAAACUAGGAACUAAGAGUUCCAAUUUACUCUAAAAGCUUACCGUAACCAAACCAAUCGGGUACGCAGGUCGUAAUACAUCAUAUAAACAUACGUUCAUCAUAAAAUAUGCCAAGGGUCGUUCCAAAUACGUCAAAUAACUAUAUAAACUUACUAUACACAUACUCACGGGCCACCUCAAUCCAUAUAAGCCCGACAACACAACCUAACUGAAGAAUAUUACUUCAACUUUAGUCCAUAAACCUUAUUAACCAAUCUCUGAUAUCUGAAACUCAUUAUAAGACCGGAUUCUCACAUCUAUACACAAAUAAGUCUAAACAAGUUGCAUCGAGCCAUAACCAUAUUCCAAGAUAUAAUCACACGAUGUACCACGUAACUCAUAUACUCAUAGUAAUAUCUUCCGACUAUAAUAACUGCUCAUUACUAAAUCUUGUACCACUAAACAACCUCAUAUUAAAUAAAACCCUGUACCAAACCUUCACAAUACUGCUAAUGAAGUAAGUGACAAGUAGAAACUCAUAACCACCCACUCAAUCAACAAGUCGUGGAGUUCUCUCACAAGAUCAUAACCAUUGCCAAACUCUAUGAUGAUUAAUGACUUUCUUAUCCAAACAUACCUUAUCCAUGUCCGGUUGCACUAAUUCCAAGCGCAAUGAUCUCAUAUUAACUAGUACAAGAUAUUCGUCGGACAAGCCACACCAAAUACCACCUAGUCACAUAUGAUGCAAUAAGUGCACUCAAAACAUAGUAACUCAAAUAUAACCAAACAUGGAAGGAGAAGAAAAUAAGAGGACCACCCUAAAAGUCCCACAAAUAUAACUACAAGCACAAUGCUCUGUACCUGUCUAACAAGAGAGAAGUAAAGUACAAAAAGAAUCAUAUCCUAUCAUGACUCUGAUACGACACAUAGCCCAAUCCAUACCUACCACAAGUCUCGGCACCAUCCAAUGCCAUUCCCAAGUUCUACCCAUACGCAAAUCCAAAAAUCCUUAAUCACCACAUAUACAUGUUGAACUCAUUAGAACCUUCACGAGAAUCAUUCACCUCGCUACAAUAUCUAAUGCGUAGCCAAUACGCACCGAAAACCAUAUGCUCCACCAAUACAUGAAUAUCCUAAAGAAGUAACCACGUCCUUCAUUUCCUUGUGCACUACUUCCACAAUGAGUAUCAAACCUGAAUCAUCUCAAGACCCUUACAUACCCAUAAAGUGCAGUACAUCAUACACCCAACUGAUCUCUUGUGCAAAAUCAUCCUAGAAAUCAUCCUUUUCAAGUGAGACCUAACCCACAAGCAUCGCUUACUCUUGAAAUUGAUAUAACACAUAACCAUGCAAUUCGAUCAUCGAUUGUAGACUCCCACACUUGGCUCGAAGCCAUAGAACACAUCGCCUGAAAUCUAUAGUACUCUUCUAUCAUAGCAGUCCUGAUCUAGUACUGUUGAUCAACUUUAUACUUCAUAAUCUUAUGUAAUAACAAGUCAUAAAACACAUCAAGGACUCCGCCAAGUGCAUAAUUACCCUUGCGACAGUUAUGUGAACUUCCCCAAGACCCUCGAAAUGGUAGUAUAUGCAUUCUACCGAAUAGAAGCCUCAUACGAACCACACAACCUCAAAUUUUCUCGCAGGAGAUAACCCACCUGCUUAGCCUCCAAUCGAUGUCACUCCAUGGACCUACUAUAGGCACAAUCGUGAUGCAAUCAAUCCUCCUAAAUUCGUACUCAUCAACCAGAUAUAAGAAUUUUUUUCGCCCUGAACAACUAAAAUAUCUACUAACACAUCCAUAUCCAAUCUUGGACAACACAUGAAAAUGAUUAUCAAGCAUCUGUAGCCCACCCUCACGUAGCAACCAAACAAGAGCGGUAGACAUGGUCCGCCAAAAUAGAAUCCCCAACGGGUAUAGACACAUAGACAAGAGUAUCCAUAGAAUCACGAGACAUAACAAAAUACAAAACAAAAUAGGACGACACAUAUGAAUAAGUAGAACCUAUAUCAAUAAAAUUGAUACAACUCUAUGACAUAUCAGAAAACUACCAGUAGCGACAACAUCCGAUGCAACUGCCUCGGCCCUAUCAGGGAAAGCAUAACUACAGGCAUGUCAACUCCCUCUAGGACGUCCUCUACCUGCCUGGCCUCUACCUCCAGCUGGCUGUGUAUGUGGAGUAGCAAAUGGAGCUGAACCCAUAACCUGAGUACUAUGCUGAAGUACACCUCUCUGAAGUAUGGGACAAUCUCUCAUGAUGUGCCUAGUAUCAGCACACUUAAAACAAUCCCUCUGCGGGAGUGGCUAUUAGUAUUGAGUCUAUACUGGAUUAUUGGAAUAUCCGUUGUGGGAACCCGGUGCAGGAGGUGCAUUGAAAAACAGUUGCCAGAUAUGAGUACUCUAGGGUCCCUAGCUAACUAGAGCACUACAAGUAACCUGAAGUGUGGACUGAACUAGCCGACUGACAUAGCCUCUGCCAUGAUGGGUCAGUGCCUAAGAGUAGAAUCCACUAAAACCUCAAGAACCAUGAGCCUCUUAGUCUCCAUAUCCCCCUCUCCUGCCUGCGAAUACACUCCAACCUCUUAGUAAUGUCCACAACCUAAUGAAAUAAAGUCUCAUUCACCAACUCCCGUAUCAUCCCAAAAAUGACACUAUGUCCUAGUCCCUCAAUAAAUCUACAAACUCUCUCUCUAGCAGUUGAAACCAAUCAAACAUUAAAGAACAAGAAUAAUUAAAGAAACACUAACUCACUUCAAUAUUAAUAAAAAUCAUCCAAUACAUAAGCACAACAAGAUAUUUAAUCCACACUUUAAAUAUGAAUAUUCACAUAAACAAUAUUCAAGAAGUGAACAUAAAUAGGUAAGGAAUUCUCAACCAAAAGUUUCAAAUCUUCAAGACCCAUGUGUGUUUGUGCAAGAACUCUAGCUCCAAAACUUGUCUUCUCUAGUCAUGAGACUGAAAAAUAAGCUAACGAUAUCCCCAAAGAUCGCUAGGUGGUGUAUUACAUGGUUUAGGGGUCACAAACAUGAAAUUCCAGAACUGCCCAGUUUUUCCGCCCAUUUCUUCUUCGCGUUCGCGAUCAUUCCUUCGCGUUCGCGAAGGUUUGUUUCCUCCAGCUUCGUGUUCGCGGUCAUUACUAUGCGUUCGAGAAGGUUUGGUAUCCUGUAGCUCUACGUUGGCUUUAGUCCCUUCGUGUGCGCGAAGGGUAAUUCACUUGGCAGUGUUCCUGUGUUCAUUUUAGCUCCCUUUUAACUUGUUUUCACUAUUUUAUCAAUCAAAUAUAACAAAAAAUCUAGGAUUAAAGAAGAGAUAAGUUGGUAAAAUACCAACUUAUAAAACUUCCAAACUUAAACUAUUGCUUGUCCUCAAGCAAUCAAAGAACAAAAUCUCCUUCCAAGUAAUUAACUCAAUAGUGCAUCAAUAUCAUACCAAGUCAAAAAGUCUACUUUAAGCACAAACACAUGACUUUUAUUGGUACCAACAAUUAUUCUAAGGCAUAUGAAUCACCAACAACUUCUUAAAACUAUCUUUUCAUUUCAAGUGCUCAAACACCAAGUUAAUCAAAAUAGCGAUCAAGUCAUGGCACUAAAGCUUCAAAAUUUUCCUCCUCGUCACAAAACCACUUUUAUUUUGUUCAUUAUUUUCAAUUGGAAAAUGGAACAAAUUAACAACUCAAAUCUCAAUGUGUCUUCACAAGAAAGAGAGAAUCCCACACUCAUAAAUUUCAAUUCAAAACAUAAAUGGGAUAUCAAAUGGAAUGAAUUAACUCUCUCUUACAAAGAUGUUCAAAUGCACACAAGUAGUACGAUAGGAUUUCCCUUCAUGUAUUUCUCCACUAAUAUCGACACACUUAGUUCAAAAUCAUUUAGGACAUAAAGGGUUGUAGUGUAGGCUUUUGGUUAAGGUAGGACACAAUUUUGGUUAGAGUGACUCAAAAAAUCCCUAAGCACUACAGUUUUUCAACAAUCAAAGUACACUUAUUUCAAAAACUUUUCCACCCUUUCUUCAUUUUCAAUUUCAUCACCUAGUCUUCCAUUAAUUCAUAAUUCCUUAUUAUUCCUUCUUUCUUUCAACAAUCAAUGUGUGUGUGUCUUUUUAAUCUUGCACCUUAUAAACAACUUCCACAUCACAACGUUUCCUACCGUCACCCCCAAACUUAGGCUUUUAGCCUAUGUUCACAGUUUCAAAGCACUUAGGGAGGUGCGAAAAGAUAGAUCAACAAAGAACAAAAGGUUAAAGAAUGUAACAUGGUUGCCAAAGAAAAGGUUAAAGGCUCAAAAGGAAGGCCUAACAUCAUUGUUCAAAUCAAGUUAGUCUAGGAUUUUUCCUUGAAGCAUAUUAUGGGCAAGUUCAAGACUACAAAUCUUGCUAAAGAACUCACAAAAAACCUCACCACACAUGGCACAUGGGAAUUCGAGUGAAAUAUGUAUCCAAAAUCCAAUUAAAACAAAUGAUCUCAAAAAACACCACUCAUAGCCCGUAGAGACUAUUUAAUGAAUCAAAGAGCCAACAAUUAAGUCUACAUGUCAUGACGAUGAUUCUUACUCCAAUCAUUUUUCUUUUUCAAAGAUCAAGAAUUCAUAUGCCAAAGUUUAAAUCAUGUUUGUAUCAUGCAAGCCACAACUUUGUUUAUGGACAAAAAAGCACACCCAAUCUUCGUUUGUAUCGUGCUCCCUGAACUUUCUCUGCCGCUUUUCAACCUUCGUUUGUCGGCAGCUCAUAUUUUCCAACCUGUUGUCCAUGGCCUCCAUCUUGCCCGUUAUUGCAUUUUGCUCUUUGACCUCAUCAAGAUAUAGUGGGGCAGCAGUGCCAGUAGAUGUGCGAGCCCCGUAUGGGCCAGUAGGAAGGCUAGUUAUAAGCUGCCUAAUGUGUGCAUCUACUCCAUGUAUCUUACUGGAGAGAUGACGCAUGGUAUGAGGACCGGACUGGAGUGGUCCCAUGUAAGGCUCCGUAAAGAUUCACCUAAAACCCGAGGCUCUAUGGUGGUGAGGUAGGAUAAUGUGUUUGGUGAUGGUAGAAAUUCUUCGGCCCACUAUGCGGCAACAAAAUCACUCUGCGGGCCACCGAAUGGCCGCAGAGUGAAGCAGAAAUCUAGGCAAGUUUGGAUGGCAUUGUGCGGUCAUAAAACUAUUUCGUGGGCCGCACAUCGACAGCAGAACCAGCAUGAAGAUUUUUUCGGAGAGGUUCUACGGCGCAUUAUGCGAUCGCAGAACAGGUCUAUGGACUGCAUAAUGGCCACAGAGUGGGGUAGGAGUGUCCAAGUUCGGGGGCCAUUUUGCGGCCCAUUUCGCGGACCGCAGAAGCAUUAUGCGGUCGCAUAUGCGACCGCAGAUCUGUGACGUGGUUCCUUUUUUCUAGAUUUUUUACCCUACCCUAUUUCGAUAUAUUAGAGUAAUGGACCACUUCUGAAGCAAAACCAUAUAUUUUAGAGAGAGGGAGUGCCAAGGAGUGAGGGGGGAGUUCCUAAUCCCAUCAUCCAUCAAUUCUUGCUCAAAGAUUGAAGAAAUUGUAAGAAGAAAUAACCGGAUAUUCAUCCUAUAGGUAAGUUUCUACUCCAUAGCCUUCAGUUUUGUGAUUCUAAUUGAUAAUAGGUAAUUAGUAAGGCAAUUCUUGGGCAUGGGAGUUGUUUAUUUUUACAUGCAUGUACUAUCAAGGGUUGGGGAAGAAUGUGGAGCUAAAUUGGGUAGACUUUGGGUAGUGGGGUGAAAGAAUCCACCAUGGGAGGACCUUGAAAUCAUAAUACCCACCUAGUAUUUAAUAAAAUGCUCAAAUGAGCUAGAACCAUAAACUCUCUCCUAAUUUGUGUUCAAGUUUGCUAAUACUCCAAAUAGAUUGAAGAAGCCAAUAAUUACGUAACAUUUUUGUAAUUUAAAAAGCUAGAGGCAAGGUAUGUUUGCUAAACUCUUCUAUUAGAAUUGAACCUCGCAAUGUCAUUGUAAAUCUCGUGAUGCCCUUUAUAAAUUAAAUUUACGUCAAAUAAGACUUAUGUCGAAAUAAUUAUGUGUUCAAUAUAUAUUCCAAAGAUUCUUGUUAUGUUAAGUUAAUGUUUAAGGAUGUGGUUUAAGUAUGGGCUGUAUGUUACUCUGUUAUGAUUUGAAAGCGUGAAUUCUAAUGAAAGCUACCAUGUCAAUAGUGUAAGAAGUCAUAUGUGCCUAAGACCCUAAUUUGCCCAAGUAUGUGAUUAAAGUCUUAAUUUGAAAAGCCUUGUUGAUUAUCCAUGAAAUUGAUUGAAAAUGGAAUAGUGAGCUGAAUUAUGAAGUACAGCCAAUAUGCCAAGAAUGAUAUUGCGUUAUGGCCAAUGAUGCCAAUAAAAUGAAUGACAUGUAAAAGAAUAUGAAUUGAGAGGUCAAUACUUUUAAUAAAAAAUGCUUUGGGAGUAUCGAUUAGCGACCGAGGAAGGGUUGGUCAGAACAACCUAACCCUGAAACUACACGUGCCGGUGUAGUAGUAAAUCCUCGUGUUAAUGUGAUAAGACAGUUUCUCCUUAUAUGGGAUGAUAUUGGUGUGUUGAGAUGUUUUCCCUUUAAAUGGGAUGAGAUUAUUUCUAGAUAGAUGAAAUGUAAUGUCGACCCACACGGCAUUGUGGUGAGGCGGCUUAUCCGAUCGGGCUGAGAUCGGACGCCAUGCCACACACAUGGUGGUAUUGUGAGUGUAUGUCUCGGGGUGAGAUGGCUUAGCCAGUCCUUCUGGGAUCGGACUCCGUGUUAAAACACAAUGGUAUAUUGGUGCUAAGGAUCUCCAAACUUAAAUUAUCGAAACCUACUUGAAAUUUACGUUUGCCCUAAUGUGUCACUUUUAUACCGUUUGAGUCUCUUAUUGAUAUCAUGUUUUAUUCUCCAUUUACUAUUGCUCGUUCUAUUGAGAGGGUGUUUGAUUUUACAUACUAGUACUAUUCCAUAUCUACUAAUGUCCCUUUCCCUGGGGGCACUGCAUCUUUAAUGGAUGCAAGUGGUUCCAUAGGUGGUGGUAUUGAUCAGUGAUAGCACUGCACCCUCUCCUCAGCUGAUUUGGUGAGCCCCACUUCAUUUCGGGAUCCUGUAUCUUCUAUCCUUUGUACAUAGCAUUUGGAGGUAUAGCAAGGGCCUUGUUGCCGACAUUGUCAUAACACUCUUCUGUUCCUGUUAGAGGCUCCGUAGACAUAAUGUAGGUUGUAUCUGUUUUUGGGAAAGUUAACUAAAAAUGUUGUAAUAGGUAUCAUCUUUUCCACUUUAACUAUGAUUGUACAACAUACCGUUUUGAAGACUUGUUAAUGACGUAACUAAUGGAAAUGAACUGGUGUUGUUCACAAUACUUUUUAUUGACUUAUUAAUGAUAUGUAUUAUUCUCUUUAUUUGUUGGUGAGUUGGGUAGAUAGCACUGUGCAGGCUUGCUCGACCGAGGUAACUCUAUUGAGUGCCGGUUGCGCUCACCGAGGUUGGGGCUUGACAAACUUGGUAUCAGAGCCUAAGGUUUUAAAGUGUCAUAGGAUAUCUCAGAGCCGUGUCUAGUAGAGUCCUUAUUAUCGAUGUGUUGUCGACCACAUCUAUAAUUAGGAGGCUACUUGGGCAUUUAGAAAUAAUACCCUUCUUUGAUAUUCUAGAUCGUGUGAUAAAGGUGAUUGUAAGAUUGUUUCUCCUUUAACUCGUGCAUUGCUAUAAUAUUUAGUAUAUGGCGCCUAGGAAAAAAGCAAGAAAUGGCCUAGAAGCCAGUGCCACCCCAUGAUUGGCAGCCAAUCCUUUACUUGAUGAUUUAGGUGAGCGCCCAAGGGAUAAGAAUAUUCCUCCAACUACUACACUGCCUGAUUCCACUACACCUGGUCAGACCACACCAGUUCCUACACCUACUGAGGGUGCAACGAUCCCUAGAACUGAUAUUCUAGUUCCACCUCCAGCCCCAGCUUAUGGUCCCGGUAUAUCUGAUAUAGAUCUUAGGGGAGCCAUACAGAUAUUGGCUCAAAUAGUGGCUUCCCAUGCCCAUAGAUCAGAUGCUGCACCCACCUCGUCUAGUCUACCAGGGGAUUCCACUAGUUAUAGGGUGAACAAAUUUCUUCAGUUGGACACUCUAGUAUUCACAAGUACUGAUCCUGAGGUGGAACCCCAGCAUUUUAUUGACGAAUGGCAUAAGACCCUCUGAGUUAUGCAUGCUACUAAGACAGAGGGAGCAUAUUUGGCCUCCUAUCGCCUGAAAGGGGUGGCCUAUUCUUGGUUUGAGAUGUGGGAGGACUCCCGUGAGGAGCGGAGCCCUCUGGCGAUGUGGAGUGAAUUUGCCGAUCCUUUCAUUGAUCGUUUCUUGCCUACCAAGAUUAAGGCAGCCGGUGCCGCCUAGUUUGAGAACCUGAAAUAGGGAAGCAUGAGUGUGUGGGAGAUCAUAUGCCAUCUACAUGUUGCCUACUAUGGAGGCUAGAGUGCGCCGGUUUGUGCAAGAACUUAGCCCCUUGGUUAUUAAUGAGGCCGCUACAACUGCCUUGAACUCUGAUAUGAACUAUGGUAAGAUGGUGGCAUUUGCUCAAGCCACAGAGACUCACAAACUGAAGAAUAUAAUGAAGCGAGAGAGUAGCAACAGGGCCCUGUCAGCGGGCAACUUCAGUAAUACUUCUGGUGGUGGUGGUGGUGGUAGGACAACUUUUAGGGGAGGAUCAUCAGGGCCGUCACAGUUUUUUGCUCAGUCUUUAGUCAGUGCAUCUCCAUUGGGGCCCGGUCAUCAGCACGAGAACCGUUUUAGGCCCAUCCAGGGCAACAGGGAUCCUACAAGCAGGGUCGAUCUGGUGGGAGAUAUCAGCAGUAGCGGAGGCCCCCAUGCCCUAUGUGUGGGAAGGUGCACUUUGGGACAUGCUACAUGAACCAGCCCAUAUGCUACGGGUGUGGUAUGGGGGGGGUCACAUUCAGAGGGAUUGCUGUUCGUCUCACCAGAGCAUGGGCAGAAGUACAGCGCAACCAGCCAGUUCUGCAGCUACUACAUCCGCUGUACCUCGUCCAGCUCGAGGCACCCCAGCACCCGCAGGGCGUGGUGCAGCUAGGGGUGACGCAUAGAGUUCGGGAGGACCCAACCAUUUCUGUGAUAUGAAGGGUCGCCAGAGUUUAGAGGCUCCUCCAGAUGCUGUCACAAGUAUAUUGACUAUCCAAUAUCAUGAUGUGUAUGCUGCUAUUGAUCCCGGUUCCACUUUCUCCUAUGUUACUCCCUAUGUUGCUAUUGAAUUUGGGAUAGAACCGGAACAGUUCCAUGAGCCGUUCUCUGUAUCUACUCCGGUUGGUGAGUCUAUUAUGGCCGCGCAGGUUUAUAGGGAUUGUGUUGUCAUGGUGCGUGGUCGAGACACCAUGGAAGAUCUUAUUGAAUUAGGGAUGGUCGAUUUUGUUGUAAUAAUGGUGAUGGAUUGGAUCGAAAACAGCUUUCAGGACCUGGUAUGGGCACUUUUAGUUUAUUGUAAUGUCUUUCAGACUAACAAAUUCCCCCAUAGUUUUCAUAAAUCUUAUGAAUCAGGUCUUCAAACCUUUCCUCGACUUCUUCCUGAUAGUGUUCAUUAAUGAUCAUCUCAAGGCAAUUUUGCAGGUCCUGUAUUAGCACCACUUAUAUGCGAAGUUUUUGAAAGGUGAAUUUUGGCUUGAAUCUGUUACGUUCUUAGGUCUUGUUGUUUCUAGAGAAUGAAUUGAGGUUGAGCCCCAGAAAAUUUCAGCCGUGAAGAAUUGGCCUAGACCUACUACUCCAAAAGAGAUUCGUAGUUUCUUGGGAUUAGCUGGAUAUUAUAGAAACUUUGUGGACGGGUUCUCUACUCUUGCCUCUCCAUUGACUAAAUUGACACGGAAGUCGGUUAAAUUACAAUGGUCUGAUGCUUGUAAAAGCAGCUUCCAAGAGUUGAAAUCAAGAUUAACUACGACAUCGGUGUUAACUUUACCAGAGGGAACAGAUGGAUUUGUGGUAUUUUGCGAUGCUUCAAGGAUCGUACUUGGGUAUGUAUUAAUGCAAUAUGGAAAGGUUUUAGCGUAUGCUUCUAGGCAACUCAAGAAUCAUGAAAAGAACUAUCCAACACAUGACUUAGAGCUUGCAGCGAUGGUCUUUGCGUUGAAGAUUUGGCGUCAUUAUUUAUAUGGGGUCCAUGUGGAUGUAUUCACGGACCAUAAGAGCCUUCAAUAUAUUUUCAAACAUAAGAAAUUGAAUUUGAGACAGAGAAGAUGGCUUGAGUUACUCAAGGAUUAUGACAUCAACAUCUUGUAUCAUCCGGGGAAGGGUAAUGUUGUAGCGGAUGAUCUUAGCCGAAAAUCUAUGGGCAGUUUGGCUCACUUGGAGGCAUAUCAAAGGUCGUUGGCCAAGGAGGUUCAUCGGUUGUCUAGUUUGGGAGUUCGUCUUGCGGACUAUAGUGAAGGAGGGAUAAUUGAGCAAAAUAGGGUUGAAUUAUCGCUUGUGGUGGAAGUCAAGGAGAAGAAAUUGAACGAUCCAUUGUUGGUACUAUUGAAGGAGGGGAUUCAGAAACAUAAGACCAUGGCAUUUUCUCUUGGCGUGGAUGAUGGUACACUAAGGUACCAAGGGCGACUAUGUAUUCCAAAUGUGGAUGAUCUCCGGGAAAGAAUCAUGACUGAGGCUCACACUUCAAGGUAUUCUGUUCACCCGGGCUCUACACAGAUGUAUCAUGAUCUUAGGGAAGUCUAUUGGUGGAACGAUAUGAAGAGGAACGUAGCGGACUUUGUAGAAAGAUGUCCAAAUUGUCAGCAAGUGAAGGCCGAACACCAAAGAGUCUAUGGGUUGGCACAAAACAUAGAAAUUCCAAUAUGGAAGUAGGAAAUGAUUAACAUGGACUUUGUGGUAUGGCUACCUCGCACUCCUCGUAAAUAUGACUCGAUUUGGGUGAUUGUGGAUCGACUCACGAAAUCAGCACACUUCUUACUGUUAAGACUACCGACACAGCAAAACAGUGUGCUCAGUUGUACAUCAAGGAAAUAGUCAGGUUGCAUGGCACCCCAAUUUUAUUAUCUCAGAUCUAGGGGCACAGUUCAUGGUUAAUAUUUUGAAGAAAUUUCAGCAAGGUUUGGGUACUCAGGUGUAUCUUAGUACAUCCUUCCAUCCACAGACUGACGGGUAAGCAGAGCGGACUAUUCAGACGCUUGAGGAUAUGUUGCGUUCUUGUGUUCUUGACUUCAAAGGUAGCUGGGAUGAUCAUUUGCCGCUAAUAGUGUUUGCAUAUAACAACAGUUACCAUGCCAGCAUUCAGAUGGCACCGUUCGAGGCUCUAUAUUAUAGGAGAUGUAGAUCUCUGAUUGGGUGGUUCAAGAUUGGAAAAGUGGAUCUGAUAGGGCCAUACCUCAUACAUCAGGCUAUGGAAAAAAUUAAGAUCAUUAAGGAGCGGUUGAAAACUGCUCAGAGUCAUCAAAAGUCCUAUUCGGAUGUGCGUCAUAGGGAUUUGGAGUUCAAAGAAGAUGAUUGGGUAUUCUUGAAGGUUUCCCCCAUGAAGGGUAUAAUGCGGUUUGGUAAGAAAGGGAAAUUAAGUCCGAGGUAUAUCGAGCCGUACAGAAUCGUUCAGAGGAUUAGUCAGGUGGCGUACAAGCUUGAACUACCACCUGAGAUGUCAUUAGUGCACCCGAUAUUGCAUGUAUCUAUGUUGAAGAAGGUAGUUGGAGAUCCAUCAGCUACUGUGCCAGUAUAUACCAUUGAGGUUAAUGAAGAAUUGACUCACGAAUAAAUUCUAGUUGCCAUCCUUGAUAGGCAAGACCAAAAGUUGAGGAACACAGAGAUUGCCUCCGUGAAAGUGUUAUGGUGAAACCAGCACGUUGAAGAGGCCACCUGGGAGGCCGAGGAAGAAAUGAAGAAGAAGUAUCCUUAUUUGUUUGAAUAGCCAUGUAUUUAUAAAAUUGUAUUCUAUGAAAUGCUAGGAGUUACCUUCUACGAAUUAUGUAUCAUUUAUACCGUUGAUGUUAAAAGUGUUCCUUUUUGGUGGUAUACUGCUCGUGAGGUCACGCUUGGCAUUGUUUUAAUUUUAUGUUGUGUCGUCGGUUCCUAUAUAUGUUGUUAGGACUGGUUUUGGUGGUCUCUGGCAGGUGGAUAGGCCCAAUUACAGGGGUGACUCUGGCAAAAAUUUUGGAAAUAUAGGGAGUUAGAUAAAAAUUAGAAUUGUUGGUGUGUGUUGUAGCAACUGAGUCACAUUGUGCACUAAUGGUAAAUGUUUACCCUUAUUUGAAGAUGAAUGAUCUUAAGUGGGGGAGGAUGUAAGGCCCCGUAAAAUUUCACCAAAAACCCACGGUUUCGUGGUGGCAAGGUAGGCUAAUGUGUUUGGUGAUGUUAGAAGCGGUACAAACCUUUUGGGUUGAACAGUGCACUGGGGAGUAAAGGAAAACUUUUGGCAGAAGAAGACAUUUCUGCGACCCACUAUGCGGCAGCAGAAUGGCCGUAGAGUUAGGCAAGAAACUGGGCAAGUUUGGAUGGCUUUGUGCGGCCAAUUAUGCAGUCGCAAAACCAUUUCGCAGGCUGCACAUCGACCGAGGAACCAGCAUGAAGAUUUUUGCGGAGAGAGGUUCUGCGGUACAUUAUGCGACCGCAGAACAGGUCUGCAGACCGCAUAAUGGUCGUAGAGUAGUGCAGUGGUGCCCAGUUUGGGGGGCCAUUUCGCAGCCCAUUUCGCAGAUUGCAGAAGCAUUAUGCGGUCGCAUAUGCGACCGCAGAUUUGUGACGGGGCUCCUUUUUUCUAAAUUUGUUACCCGACCCUAUUUCGAUAUAUUAUUGUAAUAGACUACUUCUAAAGCAAAAACAUACAUUCUAGAGAGAGGGAGUGCCAAGGAGUGGGGGGGGGGGAGUUCCUAGACCCAUCAUCCAUCAAUUCCUGCUCAAAGAUUGAAGAAAUUGUAAGAAGAAAUCACUAGGUCUUCAUUCUAGAGGUAAGUUUCUACUCUAUAGCCCUCAAUGUCGUGAUUCUAAUUGAUAAUAGGUAAUUAGUAAGGCGAUUCUUUGGUAUGGGAGUUGUUUAUUUGUACACGCAUGUACUAUCAAGGGUUGGGGGAAGAAUGUGGAGCUAAAUUGGGUAGACUUUGGGUAGUGGGGUGAAAGAAUCCGCCAUGGGAGGACUUUGAAAUCAUGAUACUCACCUAGUAUUUGAUAAAAUGCUCAAAUGAGCUGGAACCAUAAACUCUCUCCUAAUUUGUGUUACAUUUUGCUAUAUUUCCAAAUAGAUCGAAGAAGUUAAGAAUUCCAGAACAUUGUAGUAAUUUAAAAAGGCUCGAGGCAAGGUAUGUUGGCUAAACUAUUCUCUUAGAAUUAAACCUCGCAAUUUCCUUGUAUGUCUCAUGAUGCCCUUUAUAAAUUGAAUUUUUGUCAAAUAAGCCUUGUGUCAAAAUAAUUAUGUGUUCAAUAUGUAGUCCAAAGAUUCUUUUUACGUUAAGUUAAUGUUUGAGGAUGUGGUUUAAGUAUGGGCUAUGUGUUACUCAGUUAUUAUUUGAAAGCAUGAAUUCUUAUGAAAGCUACCAUGUCAAUUGUGUAAGAAGUCAUAUGUGUCCAAGACCAUAAUUUGCUCAAGUAUGUGAUUAAAGUCUUAAUUUGAAAGGCCUUGUUGUUGAUUAUCCAUGAUAAUGAUUGAAAAUGGAAUAGUGAGCUGAAUUAUGAAGUAUGGCCAAUAUGCCAAGAAUGAUAUUACGUUAUGGCCAAUGAUACCAAUAAAAUGAAUGACAUGUAGAAGAAUAUGAAUUAAUAGGUAGAUACUUUUAAUACCAAAUUCUUUGGGAGUAUCGAUUAGCCACCGAGGAAUGGUAGGUCGGAAUAACCUAACCCUGAAACUACACGUGCCGGUGUAGGAGUGAUUGAGGGUCAAAUCCACGUGUUAAUGUGAUGAGACUGUUUUCCCUUAUAUGGGAUGUGAUUGGUGUGUUGAGAUGUUUUCCUCUUAAAUAGGAUGAGAUUAUUUCUAGCUAGAUAAGAUGUAAUGUAGACCCACACGAUAUUGUGGCGAGAUGGCUUAGUCGAUCGGGUUGAGUUCGAACGCCAUGCCACGCACAUAGUGGUAUUGUGAGUGUAUGUAUCGGGGUGAGACGACUUAGCAGGUCGGGUUGGGAACGGACUCCGUGCUAAAACACGUGGGUACAUCGGUGCAAAUGAUCUCCCGACCUAAAUUAUCGAAACCUACUUGAAAUUUAUGUUUCCCCUAAUGUGGCACUUUGAUACCAUUUGAGUCUUUUAUUGAUAUCAUGUUUUAUUCUCCGUUUAAUGUUUCUCAUUCUAUUGAGAGGGUGUUUGGUUUUACAUACUAGUACUAUUCCAUAUGUACUAACGUACCUUUUGCUGUGGGCACUGCAUCUUUAAUGGAUGCAGGUUGUUCCAUAGCAGGUGAUAUUGAUCAGUGAUAGCAGCACACCCUCUCCUCCACUGAUUUGGUGAGCCCCACUUCAUUUCGGGGUCAUGUAUCUUCUAUCCUUUGUACAUAGCAUUUUGAGGUAUAGUCGGGGCCUUGUUGCCGGCACUGUCAUAACACUCUUCUGUUCUUGUUAGAGCCUCCGUAGACAUAGUGUGGGUUGUAUAUGUUUUUUGGAAAGUUAAAUUAAAAUGUUGGAAUAGGUAUCAUCUGUUCCACUUUAACUAUGAUUGUACAACGUACUAUUUUGAAGACUUGUUAAUGACGUAAAUAAUGGAAAUGAACCGGUGUUGUUCACAUGACUUCUUAUUGACUUAUUAAUGAAAUGUAUUCUUCUCUUUAUUUAUGGAUGAGUUGGGUAGACGGCACGGUAUAGGCUUGCUCGACAGAGGUAACUCUAUUGAGCACCGAUUGCGCUCCCCGAGGUCGGGGCGUGACAUCCCAUGGGGUCAAGUGACCCUUGUGCAGGUGCACAUGAUUUGAUGGAAUCAGUGGUGGCCUCAGAACUCCGCUUUUUCUGCUUGUCAAUGGGAUCCCUUUUUAGCAAUGAGUGGGUCAUCGACUUUCCCGGACCUCUCUCAUCAUCAUUUGUUACACCCCAACAUCAUAGCAUAGUUGAGUAAUAAAUGAUGGGAAGAAUAUGCUCUUGGACCUCCCAUGGGUGGCUUCCUCGAUUUCUCUAACAAUGUAUUCCCCUACGUUCACGGGUAAUCCAUCCAUGAUAGAAGCAAUUAUCAGUGCCCUCUCUGGUGUCACAUCAAUGUCAUUUGUAGAAGACAAGAUCCUCGCAUAGAUAAUGGAGAGACAAGUAUUUGCCUCAUUAGUGAAGUCAUGAAAAUCAACUCCCUUGUGCAAUGUCAACCACUUCGGGGUCACCCCGUCAUGAAAUUUGUCCACAAGCCAUUGGUUUCCUCCUGCUUUCGUUCUGUCUGUGUAAACUUCAUUAUCGGUAAUGGGAAAGCCAUAAAUUAUGUUGAUUAUCUCAAGGUUGAAGUUGACUUGCAUUUCCCGCACAGAAGUAACUAAGGUUCAUUGGAAGUCAGUCCUCAAGGCAUUUGCAUAUGAGGAGAGUGUAAUGUUCCUCAUUCGUUUCCCAUUUCUCAAAAGAAAUUAAUAUACGAUUUCCAAAAUAUUAUAAGUUUAUAAAUAUAAUGAAAAACAUAUUUUCCAAAUACCAACACUUCUAGUUCAAUUCCCAACAUCAAAAACCAACCACAACCUGAAAUCAGGCCCGGAAUAGAGUAGGGCUCACCAAAACCUGCUGAAAAGGGAGCAACUGUUAACGAGGACCAAAGCUGCCCAUUGAUGAACCACCCACAUCUAUCGAAGAUGCAGGGCCCCCGGUAAAAGGGACGUUAGUACAUAUGGAAUAGUACUAGUAUGUAAAGCUAGUACUAACGUCCAAAUAUGAAGAUAAUAUUAUUUUUGGUUGGGAGAUCUUUAGUACCGAUAUAGAUAUACCACCGUGUAUUUUGCAUGGAGUCCGAUCACGACAAGAUCGGCUAGGCCGUCUCACCCGAAGACAUCAACAACAAUCACAAUUACUAUCACAAACUUCAAUCAUUAUCUCAAUCACAAUCUCAAGCAGAAUCACCACUAUGUGUGCGGCAUGGUGUCCGAUCCUGACUCGACCGACUAGGCCAUCUCACCUCAAUGCUGUGUGGAUAGACAUCACCCUUUUCUAGCAAUCAUCUCAUCCCAAAUAAGGGGAAAAUAUCAUCACAUCAAUCUCAUCCCAAUUAAGGUGAAUAAUUUCAUCAUAUCAAUACAGGGAUUUACCCCUCAAUCACUCCUACACCGGCACGUGUAGUUUCGGGGUUAGGUUGUUAUCUACCCUUCCUCCAUGACUAACGAUACUCCCAAAAAUAUUUUUUUCGAUUUGCAUACAAAGUAAACAGCAAUACAAAUGCAUUUACCUUAUAACUUUUCAUACGAUAUAUAGCCUCAUUGGCACUUUCAACCACUUACAACAUCAUAAUUUCAUUGGCUCGCUUGGCCAUACAUAUGAUUCUUCAUACAUGGAACAAUGACUGUAUUUCAUAUUCCACACUUUCAUUUCUUUCCUUUCAUGAAUCGUCCUCAUAAAUAUCAACAAAUAAAAUAUUUCGGAAAUCACAACUUAAGGUUCAUUAGUAAUGAAGACUUUAAACACAAUGGAUUUCUUUCCAAGAAAUAGAGUAAAAUGAUUGGCAAUCGAAGCACAAGUUAAAAUCAUAAACGAGUCACACAUCAUUUAUUCUUGAAAUACUUUUCCCCGAAAGGGCAAUACACAAUUUCAACUCAUGAAUAUAUAUGAGCUCAAAACACAUUGGAAAUACUUACAAAGCAUAGCAUUAGUUGAAACAACCACAUUUGGGCACGACUUGAGUACAUAAGCUUUUAGGCAAAUCUAUUUUCGAAGUCACUAAGGAACAGUUGAAUCAAGGCUCAUUUCUUAACCUUUCUCACAUCAUUUUAUUUCAUUGGCACCAUUGGCCACAAGUAUAACUUCCAUUCUUGGCACGGUGGCCACACUUUAUAUCUCCAACUCACUCUUUCACUUUCAAGCAUCUUUAUAGAUUAUCAACAAUAUGAGCAUUCGAAAUCAAGGCCUUAAGUAACAUAUGAGAAAUAGGAGUUUUAGAUGCAUGGAGUAUUCUUUCCAAGUUAAGCAUAAUGGACUUUCAUUUGAAACACGACUCAAAGCCAUAAAAUUUUAAUACACAUAUCAUUAUUGAACACCUUCCCGAAGAAUAACAUAAUGUGAUAGGAACAUUCAGAACACAUUUUGAAUACAUAAUUCUUGAUACUUUGCUUACACGGGACAAUCAAACUCAUUGGGAACAACUUGGAACAUGGGAAUUAAGAACUUGAGCCAACCAUACUUGAAACUUAUGGGAACAUCAUGGAAUUCAAUUCUAAGAGAGUAGUUUAGCCAACAUACCUCAAAUUCGUCCCUUAAUAAUACUACAACGAUCCACUAUACUAAGAAACUUCAAUCUACAAUAACAACAUCCAAUGGGACCAGUAUUAGUUAAAAAUUCCCAAAUAUAGGCCAUUUAGGCAUUUUAUCAAACACCUAGUAGGUAUGCACCUCUACACCUCUUAACCAUAGAAUUAGUUCAUCGAACUACUACCAUUUACCAAAUAUUUAUCCCACCAUCAAUCUAAAACAAUUCAAAACUUCCAACAUCACAUACAUGACCAUCCAUCCACACACAACCAACAAAAUUCCAUCAAAUAAUCACCUUUCAAUCUCUACAGUGGUUAUGUAUUUAAAUUGGGAACUUAUGGCUCCCAAUCACCAUACCAUAAGUUCCAAUACUUAAUUCAUACUCAUAUUCCCAUAAUAUAUCCAUACAUGUAAGUCUAAGGGUGUAGGAUUACCUUUUGGAAGAAAUCUUGCAAAACCCUCCUUUGAGUUCUUGAAGAAAUUACUUGAAGAUCUAUGUAGUUUAUGGAAGAUUGAGUUACUUUUAGGGUGGAAUUGGUGAAAUGAAACACCAAAUUAGUAGGGAUUACUCACCUUGAAGAUGGGGGGAGUUGGAGGUCUAGAGAGAGUGCAGUAAAACCCCAAAAUUCGGCCAAGAGGAGUGGGAAAAAACAAGCCCCGAAAUGAGUAUAUAAUAUUUCGAGCGCCACCGGUAGCGUGGGGCGCUAGUUGUGCCCUGUUUCCAGAACCUCAAGAUUCCCAACGCUAGGGCUAGUGCCCCACGCUACCCUGGGCACUGGCGAUGGGAAUUCUUUUCUAUUUCCCCAAAUGGGCGUAACUCUCUCAUACGAUGUCCAAAUUGGACGAUUCUUAUUGGUAUGGCUCUGUAAUUUCCAUACGGAUCUAAUGCUUCAAUAAACACUGAAUUUGGAGCUCAUUUGCUUAAUGUGAUACCAAUUACGCUAGAAGAAAAGACUUCGAAAUAUCCUAAAAAUAUCCAAAUUAAAUUCCGGGCAUACGCCCGAGUCCAAAAUCACCAUCCAGAUCUAACGGAAUCAUCAAAACUCCGUUCCGAGGUCGAGUACAAAAAAAGUCAAACUUGGUCAUAAUACAUCAUAUGAAGCUACGUAGGACUUCAAAUAGUUAAAAGGAGCAUAAAUGUUAAAAACGACAAGUCGGAUCGUUACAGUUUCACACCAAUAAAAGAGGGAAAAGUUAAGAGACAAGAGAGAAAACCACAUACCUUGUAAAUGGCGAGGCAAAAUUGCAAUCGAUUUGAAGAUUAUAGAGAAUUUGAUUUUAGGGGUUAAGGAGUAGGAAGAAACGGUUCUUGAGCAAAGAGAGUGAUUAAACAUUGAUUUCCAGUAUUCUGAUAUUUUAAACUUACCUGAGGCUCGCGUUUAAGAGGUAUCUAUCGCCUUCGUGAAGGGUUAAAGUUGGCCAAAUAGUCGAGAACGCGACGUUGACAUCGCGAAUACGUUGGCUUAAAAUUUUAUUACCUUUCGAGAUCGCGAAGGUCCACCGCGAACGCGAAUCAGUGCUUUUGCAAUUUCCAGCAGCUACUGUUUUUUGGCUGUCUGGUCACCCCGACCUUCUCAAAUCAACUUCAAAAAUUCUAAAACUUGGCCAAAUUGUCAAGAACAAUAUACUAAGCUAUUAUAAAAAAAGAAAAAAAUUGAAAACGACUAAAACAUUUUAAAACGAUGGGUUUCCUCCCGCCAAGCACCUCAUUUAACAUCGUGGCACGACGCGAAUCAACUUUACUACUUUUCUCACCACUUGGAAGAUAUGAGCUGGGCACCUAACCUGGAAUCAAGCUUCUGACCAUGAGCGAUGGGGGUGGCAAGUAGAUGAUCAACCCAAACAUCAUUUUCUUCAUUUUGCAUUUAUUGGCUUUCUUUUCAAGAAUGUCAUUUGGCAUUCUUGAACUUUCAAAUUGUAAAAUGUAUGGUUCUUGAUUUUCUUAUUUGCACUUCCAUAUGGAUUCACACAGCUCAAUUCCCAUAUCACCAUGAAAUUCCAAAGUUAAAAAAUGCUUGGAAUGUGACAUCAAGCCUUCAAAUUGCAAUUCUUUUGGAUUUUGACAUCCUUUUUAUCCCCCAAACUAAAGUCAAUUUCAACUAUCUUCUCAACUACACUACUUGACUCUAAUUCUAUUUUUUUCUUGGCAUCACCAACGAGCUUGGAGUCGGUUGGCGGAUGUUCAAUUCUUGUUUUCUCAAAAUAAAACUCACUUUCUUCCUCAAAGUUAGACUUUUCUUGAACUCUUUCCACACUCUCAAGUUAGUGGACAUAGUGAGCCUCAAACAAUAUUUUCAUUUGAUCUUCCAAGGUGCGUAUAUUCUCAUCAUUUUGAGUUAGUACUUGUUUCAUGUCCUCAAUUACCAAGUUGUGCUUCUCCUCAUUUUCAAGAAUGGCCUCCAACAUGAGCAUCAUCCUCUCAUUUUGGGCAUUUGAGAGUUCUUCUUGAUUUUGAUCAAGUGCCAAGGAAGGAUUUUCUGCUUCAACCUCCAAGGAAGGUUCUUGGCCAUCAUCCUCUUCCGAGGCUUUUUGGACCUUAAAACUUCAAUCAUUUCUCCCAUUUGUGAAUUCAACCUUUCAAGCGCCAAAUCAUUUUUUAGACUAGUUUCCAAAAGCUCCUUCAAGGCAUUUUGCUCUUUGUUUCCUCCUUCAAGUAAGUAUUCCAUCGUGAGCUUGAACUCUUCAUUUUGACCAUGCUCAAUUUAUUCCACUUCUAUAUUUCUAUAAUUAUCAUCACCAAAAGUAGAAUCAUCAUAGCGGGUGUUUGGGGAAGGGAAGGACAAAUAAUCGCAAUUAGCCCAAUGUCCAUUUUGAUCACCACACUUAUUACAUAUACUCCACUCCUGGAUCUGAUAUUGUGCACACAAUCCGCCCCCGGGAAAAUUUAAACUAUCUUGCCAAGAGUGUGGCCCUCCACAAUAAGGACAAGGGUCAUCAAAGUAUGAACAACUAUCAUCCGACCAAUUUUCAUUAUGCGAUGCCAUUUUUCGAAACUAAAAAAAAAAAGAAACAAAUAAGAAAAAUAAACAAAGAUAAGAAAACUAAUUACACAAAUAUUCACAAGUUUGGACAAAAUCACAUACGCUUACUCCUCAAACAACCUAAAUACGCCAAAUUGUUCCCCGAGAACGGCGCCAAUUUUGAUGACGUCCAAAUUCACUACUAAAAAGUAAAUGGACACGGUCGCAUGUAAUAUAAUAUACCAAACUAUGAGUCGGUGUCGAAUCCCACAGAGAAAAUAUGUAGGUGAUUAAGCAAUGCAAGAGAAUUAUAACUUAUUAUGCUAAGCCAAACACUUAAAAGGGUUUAGAAAAAUUAUUUAUAUCUAAAUGCAAAAAUGUAAACUAACCUAUAAAGCAAGUAAAAUGAUCAAUGGCUAUAAGCAUGGAUACACUGGGAGUUACACACAAAUAACGAUCCAAUGUAUUUCACGAUUUUACAAAUAUGAGCUACUUUGUGUUAAUUAGUCUCAAAAUAUUAAUUCUUUAUUAGCUUCUUUCAAAGACUAACAAGACUUUCUAAUUGAAUUAUCCCUAAAAUAAUUAAGAGAUUAAAUACACCCGACUAUGGCUACAACUAGAAUGUAUAAAACGAGGGCUAACGCCUCGAGUUCUUGUUAAUUAAUGUUUCCCAACCCCAAAUUAACUUUUCCAAAAUUGGUCCGAAGUUAAUGGGCGAUUCCUAGGGUUAUCUAAGUCGUUUGGAAACAUUAAAGAACAAGAAUAAUUAACGAAACACUAACUCACUUCAAUAUUAAUAAAAAUAAUUCAAUACAUAAGUACAACAAGAUAUUUAAUCCACACUUUAAAUAUGAAUAUUCUCAUAAACAAGAUUCAAGUUUUGGAAAAAAUACUACACACUAAGAUAUUUAAUACAAAGCAAGGAAAUUGUUGGUUCUCCAAGUACACGCAAGUAUACGUGGCCGUCAAAUAAUAAAGUGACUCGAAAGUCGAAUGUCGAACCCACAGAGACUUAGAUUGAUCGUUAACUAAGCAAACUAAAAUCAAUUAAUUGUCCAAGAUAUUUAAGAGUGAUAUUUUUCUAUUAAUCUCUUAUUGCGGAAAUUAAACAAGUAACAACUAAUUUUUCACUAACGUAAAUGCGUAUGACGAGAAUUUACUUAAGAGUAGACGAAAUUUGCAGGGUUGAGGUUGGUGUAGCAAUCCUGUUAAGUUCAAUAAUCACACUCGUUAAUCCAGAUUAUCUAUAGUUGCUAAUUAACCGGAUCGUUUAUAUGAAUAGCAUGUUCCCACAGUACUAUUCGUCAGUCCAUAAUAUAUCAAUCCUAUAUUCCUAUGGUAUUGAGUCUAUCAUGAACGAAUAUAAUACGGUAUUCAAUUAUGCAAGACUGUUAGGUAUAUUCAUAUCUUAACCGCGAAAUCUUUCCCCGAGCCACGGGUUCAGAAACAAGAUCUCUCUAAUUCAACUCUAAUCUAUACAUGACUUUCACAAGCAUAGCAUAGAUAGUAAAUAGAUCUCAACUGCUGGCCAAACAAUUAAGCAAUUAUGCACAGAAUUAGAGAAACAAUCACAAGAUGAUAAUCUGAAUUAACGAAGAUAUAAUUAAUGAACGUUAAUAAUCAUGUCAACCACAAACCUAGAACUAGAGUGCUUAGCCACUCAUGUUCGUAGUAACAAUUUUUUAAGUAUUUUGCAUAAACAGAUUACAAAGAAAAGAUAAAGAAAUGAAGAACUCGAUGAUUUUCUUCUCCAAAAGUGGUUUCACGUGAUGUUUUUGCCUCUGGUCGCAAAAGUCCUCUAAAAAUGGUGUUUAAUGACUAUUUAUAGGUGUAGGGAAUAGACCCAAACGAAAUGACCAAGUCCAAAACCAAAUAGGUGACGAAAUAGGCUUUUAAAAUCCGAAACCCCCUUGCUACAGACCGUGCCUCGCGACCUCUAUAGCGCAUUCCACCUCGCCUCAGGCCUAGCCUCGCGAGCUCAAAUGCGCGCUAUGAGUCUCGUGCCGCCUGCUCUAUCGCGAGCAGUGAACCUCACGUCGCCUGGGAUGUUGCUUCGCUUUUGAGUUGCUUCAGUUCUUGCAUUGUUCUUUCUUCAAUUCUACAUUCCAAACAUCACUUCCCAUUUCACGUUUUUUAUCUUCUUUUCCUUAGUUUUCAAUUUUUUUGCAUUAUUCUUUCUUUUUGUCUUCUUUUUGAUUUGUCUCUUUUGUCUUCCCAAACAAAGUUAAACCUUAAUAUAUCCACUAAUUAAAUAAUCAUGACUCCAUUCUUGUAGUAUAUAAAAUACACAUAAAAUCUCUACUUUGCUCCCAAUUUCGUCUUCAACGUACCUACACAUAAAAUAAACUCAAUUAAGCACGAAUAUAGUAUAGUUUAGCAUUAAAGCCCCAAAAUGUAAGGUAAGAAUGCAAUAAAAAUAUGGACUUAUUGCCAAACAUCACUAUCUCACACUUAAACGUUGCUCGUCCUCGAGCAAUCAAACUACACUUUAUAUAGACAGGACCUUUUUAAACAAUUCUACUAACUCAUUACACCAAGAAUCUUUAAAAUAGACUAAGCACAAGGGUGUAACAUGUUCACCUCAAGAUUUGACUCACAAGUACCAUGCAUUAUUCACAACUCACUCACUUACUCUAACGUAGAGGUCAAUGAUAUUACCUUUCCUUCAUGAAUCAAUUGCCCUCACACAACAAAAGAGAGUAGUUCCACACACAAUAAAAUUUUAAGAACAAUUAGGAACUCAAGAUAGAAAGAAUUCACUCACUCUCAGAAAUAACUUUCAUAUGCUACAAAAGAUGCACCAUAAGAACUUUAAUACAUAUACUUUAACGUUCAAACCCACUACUUAUGUCGAACCAUAACUCCACCUUCACAGCAAUGUAUAUUAACUUCAUACUUCUUUAAGCACAAUUGCAUCAAGAGUCAUCACUAUCAAAAAAUACUUUUCACAACAAUACAACUAUAUCUUUUUUUUCCUCAAUUCAAGUAGCUCUUACUUUUUUAAAACAUUGCACCUUUCUCCUUAUUUCACUAGUUUCAAUCAAAAGCCAAACCAACCACCCCACUCUUUAACUUUUACAAAGUUCAUAACAAUUCAAGUGCUCAUGAGAGGUGGAAAGGUGCAAAUAGAUGGUUAAUUCCAACAAAUGGGUAAAGCUUGUAAUGUCGUUUCCAAAGAAACAAGAUUACAGGCUCAACAGGGUUAACUACGAUACAUAAUAAUUAGGCGGGUAAAAUAUAUAUAUUUGGCUCAACAAAGAAACGCCUAUAUCACUUCCAAGACUAAACAAUACUACAAUUUUGCUUUGCAAACACACGGGGCAAGUUCUAAACAUCAAAUGUAAUGCACAGAAUAAUACACAAACCUCACACACACAUGGCACAUAACUCACUCAGGAUUGGACUCAUCAAGACACUCCAGUCAAAGCAGUUAAGCUAGUUUAAGAUUAUACAAUUUAAGGUACUUAAACAAGAGUCAAAAACUGAGUCUAAGCAUCACAACCAAAGUACUCACUAUUCUCAAGGCAUAACAAAGUCAAGCGAUAUUGCUUCAAUUCAAUUCAUAUCACAAUGGAUCCUACUUUAAAAAAAACUACCUACACCCGGUUCAAACAAAACUCUUGGAAAAGAACCGCGGCACAAAGAAAAACCAAGGGGGAAUUGAAAACUGUCUAGGAGAUCCAUGGUCAGGAAGAGUCCAAUUUUUCUACUUUUUUUUCUUCUUUCAUUUUUUUCCCAUAGCUACUAAAAUACUACACAACUACGAAUCCUACUACUAAUUAUUUUUAGAGAAUUCUCCCACCCCAUACAUAAAAGAGUGCAGUGCCCCCAAUGCACAAAUAAAGCAAAACAAUAACGAGGGUCGACAAGAAAUUCCCUGAAAGGCCAAAGACCGAAGCAAUAGCGGCUCACGGGUACUCAGACUUCCCCCAAGCAUGAUCCAUUGUAUGGCACCCCACACAUAGUUCUCACCAUCCAACUCACUUUUGCACUCUUCCAAUGGCUUUGCUUCCUAUUCUUAUAAUCCUACAAAACAAAAACAACACUACUACAAUAAUAAGAUUAAAAAAAAAUAAAAUAAAAAAUUAGUAACGAUGGGUUGCUUCCCAACAAGCGCCUGGUUUAACUUCGCGGCACGACACUGCUACUCUACUCAGGCUGGGUCCUUUCUCUUCUCCUUUCUCCCAUUAAGUCGAGUCUUUUUACAUUGUUACAUCCUGCAUUUUCGUAUGAUAAAGUUUCGUCGUAAUUUAAUCGACGCAAGUUCUGGAAUGAAAUUAUUUCGUGAUUAUAAGCAUUAUGCUAUUUUGAACAAGUGAUAUGUAAAUUGGUGAAGGUGAGAGGGUAAGAAAACUGAAAAAAAUAAAUUUCGUCAAAGUUUGACAUUUUAGGAUAAAAUAUGGCCCGAGCUAAAAUACCCGGUAUUUAUGGACUAGUACCACACAAGGUACUACAUGAUCGUGAUAGUAAGUUAUAUAAGGUAUGUUAAAAAUAAGUAGUAUUUUAAGUGGAGAUAAUUCUUAUUUAUGUGCGUAAUUUAUUAAUUAUUGGAUAAUGAGACAUUACCUAGUUAAUUAAUAAUUAGUGGUUGUCUUUGGAUAAAGACUAAAGUCUUUGGUUAAGUUAAAUAACCUCACGUGGCAGCAAGACAUGUAAAUCAAAGUGACUCUUACAUUCAUUAAAUAGGUGGCAUGAAUCAAAAACGUGUCCUUGAGAAAGGGAUAGCUGGCGGCAGUGUUUAAAGAAUGAAACAUAGGAGUCAUUUUAAUUCUUUCUAUUCACUUUAGAUUUAAGGGAACUCUUCAGCAAGCAACGUCAGUUAUGAGUGAGCUGCUUACAGAUUUUCAUUUCAAAAUUCAUUAUCUAUUAAGAGUGUUUUGAAGCAACAUUUUUCAUUUCAUCCAACAAACUUUGCAAAGUGAGAAUUUGCGAUUCUAAGAGAGUACGGUGCAAUCUUUUCCAAGAACAUCACACGGAUGUUUCCCUACUUCAGGUAUGUUAAGGCUAAGCCCUUCCUACAUUUUGGCAUGAUCUCGUUAUUACAUGAGUUUGAUAAUGAGGCAUAAAGAGAAAUUCAUAUUCCGGAAUUUACGUAUAUUUUUUUAGUCUUGUAAGUUACAAUAUUCUCCUUAUCGGGACUUCAUAUUCAACUGAGCAUUUAUUUUUUUCAGUCAAGAGAGCAGAUAAUCUAUAUACACAGUAUUACAAUAUUUUCAUUACCAUCGAGCUAUAAUCGAUGGACAGGCUCCUAUUGUGCAACCUAUGAUCAGAUGGUAAGUUAUAUACCGAGCUUACUGUGGCCGAGCGGUUAUGAGCGAGCCCAGAUGGCCGAGAUACAGAGCCUAGUAUGGUCGAGCGNNNNNNNNNNNNNNNNNNNNNNUUCAGAUUAUCACUGAAUUCCAGUUGCUUUCAGUUAUUAUAUUAUCAGUUCAGUUUAAGGUUUAUGUAUAGUGCCCUACAUACUCAGUAAAUAAUUUCGUACUGACGACCCUUUUCUGGGGGCGCUGCAUUUCAUGCGUGCAGGUUUAGACAGACAGACGGGUAGACCUCCUUAUUAGGUGUUGCCCAAGUUCAGCUUGAUCGGCAAGCUCCAUACCCUUCGGAGUUGCCGGGUCUAGAGCUUUACGUACAUCUUUGUAUAUACAUAUAUAUAUAUUAUGAGUAGGUUGUAGCCUUGUUCCGAUCACAGUAUAUCCAUCAGUAGAGGCUUGUAGACAUAUCCUGUCAGUUAAUGCAGUAUGUUAGGCUUGUAAGCCUUUUAUGUACAUUUUGUUGGAUUGUCAGUUGUAGUAGUUAUGACGGCCUUGUCGGCCCAGCUUUUUAUUGUUAUUUAGUCAGUAUUCGCCAUUGUCUUGCAAUGUGGCCCAUGGCCAAAGUAUGACAUUAUAUGUUCAGAGUCCCUUAGUCGCAAGUUGGUACACGAGGAUAGGUGAGGCACCGAGUGCCGGUCGCACCACCAGGUUCGGGGCGUGAUAAAAGUGGUAUCAGAGCAGUUCUAUCCUAGAGAGUCUACAAGCCAUGUCCAGUAGAGUCUUGUUUAUGGGUGUGUCGUGCACCACACUUAUAAGCAGGAGGCUGCAGGGCAUUUAAGACUGUCACUCUUUCUUCUUACUCUAGAUCGUGUGGUAGAGCUUCAUUGUAAGAACUCAAUUUCCUAAACUCUAUCUUAUUCAUAAUACGACGAUAUCUUGAGUUUGCAUCAUUCCUAUGAUGGAUAAAUGUGAGGUCUUCAGAAGAACAUGUGUGUACCUUACGUGUAAGCUUCUUGAUAAGGAGUCUUAAGGCAAGAAUAUAUGUCAACCUCUAUGGUGAAAGGCAAUGAGAGGUUCAGAAGAUAGAUACAAGCUUCAACAAGUAAAAAGAGUAAGAUGAGAAGGGUACGAGAUACCCAGUUAAUGAAGAUUAUCGGUAUUUUCAACUCCGACAGAAAAGUAUAAGCAUUGUGACUUACCUUCAACAGUAACAGAAGUAUGUAAAAUUGGCUACACCCAUCUUUGUUAUACUUUAUUGGGGGCUAACAUGUGUAGUUUAAGAAAAGGACAGGAUAUUAGGAUCCGGCUAAGGUUAGAGUAACCCAAAAUGAUAAAUGGAUUGUUUGUGUUAGUUGGCAUUUCUGAAGAAUAUUACAAAAGUGCUAAUAGAUCUCCUUGUGAGGCACCCAGAUGGUGCACUCUAGAGUAUUACAAUUAGAUGUGGUACGAAAAGCCUGGAAGGGAUAAAUAUUACCUUAGAGUGGCUCGCGUCCCUAGUAGAGCGAGAACGUUAAGCAACCCCAAGAGCCACUGGAUGGAGCAAGGGGAGCUAAAAGCAAAAGAAUGUCUUGUUCGAGUUUUCAAAAUAAAGUGAUAGACAUAAAUGUUAGCCGGAAACAAGAAUAGUGUUAAUGAAGCAUUAUGAGUAAGAUAUGAUACAUGGAUGACAACGGUGGAUCAAAAAGAUGACAGUAUUACAAAGUCUAUAGUCAAUUGAAGGAAAAGACGAGAGGUGACAGGACUUGAGACAACAAAAGAGUAUAGGCCAUAAAGUCAUAUCCUUAUUUCAAUAAAUAAGUUCGUAACUCAAACGUGACUACCGGAGGGAAAAGUUAAACUCCAGAACAAUUGAAAUCAGUAUGGGCUGGUGAACAAGAUAGACUAAACAUGAAUUAGGGACUGAGUGAUUGGAUAAUAGUCAGCAUCAUGAGAAUUUCAGAUUUCGUUUCGGUGAUAAUAGAGUGGACAACAGAAGAUGAUUCAUGAAAAAUUCAGAGAAUGGUCAUUCAGGAAGACGCUUCCCUAAAGCAAGCAAAGUGAGUAAAGUUAAGAUUAAGGGACUGGAUGUGCCAGUUACACUAAGUGUCACCCUCGCGAGUGAGGAAUUUUGUUAUCCUUGGUACCGAAGGAUUACCGCGAGGCGAGUAAGGAUCAUCGAUAAUGUGAAAAGAUUCCAAAGAUGAGAGGUGUAAAACAUCUAUACCUAGUUCUUCGUAACACUAAAUCUUAGUGCUCCCCUAAAGGGGGGAAUAUGGUGUGAUGUGACAUUAGGUCAUAAUUAAGUGGUUCUAGUAACUAUGGAAAUGGUAAAGGAAGAAUGUGAUAAGAAUGAGAAAGGGAUAAGAUUGCACUUAUACAAGUCCUGCAGAUAUGCUACGAUUCCAGAACAUUAUGCAAACACGACGCCAAGAAGAGGAGGUAAGGGUUCCUGCCUGAGAUGUUAUUGAUAUAUAAGGAGCCAGUGCAGGACGUAAGUUAAGAUAAAGGAAAUGACCCAUGAAAGAUUACACAGAAUAUUGAUAUGAGAAUGAGCCGAUGAGUAGUUAGUAGUUGAUUCAGGAAGAGCCUAGUUAUGGCUAGACAAGAGGAUACAGACCAAUCAAUUGAUCGUGCAAGAUAUUUAGUCUCGCAGAUAUGACAUCGUGACCUUGAGAAAUAUUCGGAUAGGAGUUCGGGUAGUUUAAGAUAUCAUAUGAGUGUUAAGGGAAGACAGUCAAAACAUCAGUUUGGGAGCAACCGUGCAAGCAUAUAAGUAUGGAGGUAAGUAACUAAUGAAUUUUAUAUGUGAGUACGAACAUUAAAAAUUCCGUCGAGUAUACGAUGUAAUAAGAUCGCGGCCUUGCAAGAAUCAGAGGGUCCUCCCUAAGUACUACAAUGAAAGAUUAGCGGAGGAAAUAAGGAAGAAGGCUUUAACCAAGCACAGUCACCUAAAGAGGAAAUGGUUAUGUAACAGCAGUCUCACAAUCAGUAGAUGGCACCUAUCGUGGCUAAUGAACGGGAAGAAGAAAAAAUAUAUAUAUAUAUCAAAAUCAAAAGGUGAUAUUCAAGAUCAUAUGGGUUGUAUGGAAUUCCAAUAUGUGUGGGCACUAAAAUAAGCUAAGUAUGCACGCAACAAGGAGGCAAAACGACCAGAAAAACCAAUUUCUUUCAUUUAAAAAAAGUUGAGAAGGAAUGAAAGGAAUUAUUCAAUCAAUGAUCCAGAGAUAAUUACAUAAUGAAUGUACCUAAGAUUUCGGAUUAUUACCCAUGCGGCAUAUAUGUUGACAAUCAUACAACAGUAGAAGAUUUCGGUAUAGGUUACAAGAAAGAAUUAAGCCCAGGUCAUAGACAAAAAGAUUGAAUUGUUAUAAGACUGUAUCAUGGAUAUACCAUAGCAUCCAUGAAGGGCUAGAGUAAUAACUACUGCCAUGAGCCGUAGAUCGGAAAAUAGCUUAAGCAUACAUAAAGGUUGAUCAGAAGGAAGAGGAAACUAAAGAGUUACAACAACGAAGUAAAUCAGGAGUCUAAUUAUUGAACCUAGAAAAUUAUAGAAAUUGUGCUUGACAACAUGGUAGAAUCACUCUUAAUAUCAGAGGUGCAAGAGAGAUAAUGCAACAACCAUAUUUUAUAAUGGCUCUAUAAGGAAGCUAGUUAGAAGAAGUACCAACCUCAUAAGAAGUCAGUACGAAGCUCCCACCAGAUUGUGUACGCACCAGACGUGCAAGUAUUAUAAUAGAGCUUCAAGUUAUGGACGUGAAUUAUACAUAUGUGGAAGGGAGGUCAUGAAAGAGAUAGAAAAUACGAUGAGAGAUUUUAAGGUAAGGUAAAGGUGAACAACGUACAAGAUACUCAAAGGUAGAAGAUCGUGAAUAGUCCAUGCUUCGGAUAGAAGGCUAGAAGCACUAGGAUUCAAUAUCCAAGAACGAUAGAAGCAUCGUCAGUGGCGUACCUUCCAGCUUAUGGUUUCUAGGUACCGAGAGAUCUAGUCAAGAGAGUAAAGAAGAGUAUGAGACAAUGCGAUGUCUCGCCCGAUGUUCCAGAAAUAACGUAAGGAAAUCUAUGGUGCAGGCAAGUUGAAAAGAGGUUGUGAGUAGUAUAAAUGGAUAUGUGUAAGUGGAAAACUAAAGUAUGGUAAAACGACAAGGUUUUAGGAAGUUAGGAAUAAGGAUAAGAAAGGGCGAGUGAGAAGGUGACGAGAAUGGAUAGGUCCUCACGAUUAAGCACAUGAAAAUAAGAAGAGCUGAUGGUUUCUCUAAGUUAUACAAAGCUCGGUAUAGCCUGAAUGAACUCAAAGGAGUCUAAGACUAAUGGCAUUUAGAAGAAAUGGAAUGCUGCCCUGGUAGUAGAAAGAGGGUGUAAUUGUGAUGCAUAAAGAAUAACGUUUGGGCCUUCGAUUGAGUAAUGACUUGAAGAGGAUUUCACGAAUUGGUCGGGAUUAAAAUACCCACGUAAGGUGAAUCACAUUGGGAUACUAUGAAAUACGGUUAUGGAAGUAUAGUAUCACCCCUAGGUGGAUCAAUCUAAUUACUCCAGAUAUCCUUAAUGAGACGUGAGCCCUAGCGGUAGUGUUUCAUAAGAGGCCAAGUUAUUGGUAUUAAGAUGAAUUAACAAUGGAUGGACAAAGGUCACAAAGUAUGAGAUGAGAUUAGGCCAUCAUAAUUAAGAUGAGCAGUAAUGAGGGGGCAUUGAAGGACUUAGCUUAUUGCAUAUAGGAUAAGCAACGAAAGUAACCUGGAGUUCCGUAGCAGCCCUCAAUAACGAUAAAUCAAAGUAAGAGUUAUGGCAGUAAAGUCAUAUGGAUGGAUAAACGGAUCUAUGACAUAAGGUAGCAGCAGUUACGAGAUUAGAAGGAUUCCGACUACAAGUUGUGGUGUGAGAAAGAAGCAUAAAGGGGGGAAUGCCCUGGCCCUUGGAAUUAUUCAUAGAACAGUUGCUUAGAUGGCAAGGAAAGUACUAAAGUAUUCAAAGGACAUAAGUUAUUAAAAUGAUAAGUAUAUCAAUCAACAUUCGAGGACGAAUGUCCCAAAGGGGGGAAUGAUGUUACAUCCCGCAUUUUUGUACGAUAAAGUUUCGUCGUAAUUUAAUCGACGCAAGUUCGGGAAUGAAAUUAUUUCAUGAAUAUAAGCAUUAUGCUAUUUUAAACAAGUGAUGAGUAAAUUGGUGAAGGUGAGAGAGUAAGCAAACCGAAGAAAAUGAAUUUCGUCAAAGUUUGACAUUUUGGGAUAAAAUAUGGCCCGAGCUAAAAUACCCAGUAUUUAUGGACUAGUACCAUACAAGGUACUAAAUGAUCGCGAUAGUAUGUUAUAUAAGGUAUGAUAAAAGUGAGUAGUAUUUUAUGUAAGUGGAGAUAAUUCUUAUUUAUGUGGGUAAUUGAUUAAUUAUUGGAUAAUGGGACAUUACCUAAUUAAUUCAUAAUUAGUGGUUGUCUUUGGAUAAGUUAAAUAACCUCACAUGGCAGAAAGACAUGUAAAGCAAAGUGACUCUUACAUUCAUUAAAUAGGUCGAAUGAAUCAAAAACAUGCCUUUGAGAAAGGGAUAGCUGGCGGCUGUGUUUAAAGAAUGAAACAUAAGAGUCAUUUUAAUUAUUUCCAUUCACUUUAGAUUUAAGGGAUCUUUUUAGCAAGCAACGUCAAUUAAGAGUGAGCUGCUUACAAAUUUUCAUUUCAAAAUUCAUUAUUGACUAAGAGUGAUUUGAAGCAAGAUUUUUCAUUUCAUCCUAUAAACUUUGCAAACGUGAUUUGCUUCAACAUUCAUAUGAAAUUGAUUAAUACUUAGCAACGUGAGAAUUUGCGAUUCUAAGGGAGAACGGUGCAAUCUUUUCCAAGAAUAUCACACGGAUUUUUUCCUACUUCAGGUAUGUUAAGGCUAAGCUAUUCCUUAAUUUUGGCAUGAUCUCGUAAUUACACGAGUUUAAUAAUGAGGCAUAAAGAGAAAUUCAUAUUCCGAAAUUUACGUUUAUUUUCCUAGUAUUGUAAGUUACAAUAUUCUCCUUAUCGGGACUUCAUAUUCAAUUGAGCAUUUCUUUUUUCAGUCAAGAGAGCAGAGAAUCUAUAUAUAUAGUAUUACAGUAUUUAAAUUACCAUCAAACUAUAAUCGGUGGGCAAGGCCCUAUUGGGCAACCUCUGAUUAGAUGGUAAGUUAUAUACCGAGCCUACUAUAGUUGAGCGCCUAUGAGCGAGCCCAGUUGGCUGAGAUACAGAGCCUAGUAUGGCCGAGCGCCUUUAAGCGAGCCUACUACGGUACAGUAGUUAAAUAUAUAUCGAGCCUUAUAAGGCUGGACAACUAUUUUACUUACUAUAUAGAGAGAAUUGAGUCAGUAUCAGCAGGUAAGCAUAUCUUCAGAUUAUCAUUGACUUCCAGUUCCUUUCGGUUAUUAUAUUAUUAGUUCAGUUUCCGCUUUCAGUAUAGUGACUUACAUACUCGGUACAUUAUUUCGUACUGACGUCCCUUUUCUGGGGGCGCUGCAUUUCAUGCGUGUAGGUUCAGACAGACAGACGGGUAGACCUCCUUAUUAGGUGUUGCCCAAGUUUUGCUUGAUCGGUAAGCUACAUACCCNNNNNNNNNNNNNNNNNNNNNNNNNCCAUCAGUAUAGGAUUGUAGACAUAUCCUGUCAGUUAAUGUAGUAUGUUGGGCUUGUAGGCCUUUAUGUACAUUUUGUUGGAUUGUCAGCUGUAGUAGUUAUGACAGCCUUGUCGGCCCAAUAUUUUAUUGAUAUCUGGUCAGUAUUCGCAAGUAUGACAUUAUAUGUUCACAGUCCCUUAGUCGCAAAUUGGUACGCGAGUAUAGGUGAGGCACCGCGUGCCGAUCUCGCCCCCAGGUUCUGGGCGUGACAUACACGUUCUUAGAAGGUCUCCUUUUUCAUCUCUGGCUCUUUUAUCAAUUAUCCUUACACACUCAGCUUACAAAGGAAUUAUUCUCCAACUCAGUUGUCCCAUACGAAUCACUACACUUCUCAUAUGGACUCUGCUCUAUCCCCUUAAGUUCUACCACAGUAAUCAUGCAAAAGUCCUCAUAAUGCUUAGGGAGCUUAAGUCCCUGGUACAGAUUUAAAGUUAUUUCCUCAUCGCCAACUCUCAUCUUCAACUACCCUUCACUAACAUCAAUAAGCACUCCACCAGUAGCUAAGAAUGAUCGCCCCAAAAUCAUGGGUACUUCAUCAUCUGCCUCAUAAUCGAGAACAAUAAAAUCAGCAGGAAGAAUAAACUUUCCCACUAGAACUAGCACAUCUUCAAUAAUUUCUUCUGCAUAACUAGUGACCUAUCUGCCAACUGCAAAAUGAUCGUAGUAGGUCUAACCACCACAAAUCCGAGUUGCUUGAACAAUGAGGAUGGCAUCAAAUUUAUACUAGCCCCUAAAUCACAGAGGGCUCUACCAACUUCUUGUUUUCCAAGAGACAGAGGAAUUGUGAAACACCCAGAAUCCUUAAACAUAGGAGGAAGUUUACUCUGAACUCUAGCACUGCACUCUUCAGUAAGUGCAACUAUUUCAAACUCUGUAUGUCUUCGCUUAUUUGCCACAAUAUCUCUAAGAUACCUUGCAUACUUAGGCACAUUUUACAAAAUUUCCACCAAAAGGAAAAUUCAAAUGCACUUGGCUCGAAAUAUCUAAGAAUUUCUUGUACAUAGAAUCAUCGUUUUGCUUUCGCAGUCUUUGCGGUAACAGAGGUGGUGUCCUUGUCACAAUUUCUGGCUUUUCUUUCUUAUUCUCCUCAAUGGGCUUAGGAACUAAUUCUCCUUAGGUCUACCUGUAUACUUCUUUUUCUCUAGAACAUCUUCUAAUUCUCUUCCGUUUCUCAAGGUAACCGCAUUGACUUGAGCCUUAGGAUUAGGCUUUGUAUCACUUGGGAGAGCUCCAGCAGGUCUAGUAUUGUGAUUGUAAGCCAUUUUCCCAAACUGCAUCUCUAGAUUUCUGAACUCGGUGCGUAGUUAUUGGUUGUCUAUCAAGAGCCUUUUCAUCAUGUCAGUCAAACUCUCAUGUGCUUGCUGUGGGGGUUGAGGUGGAUGAUUGUAAUUCGCUUAAGCCCUGAUAUUCUGAUUUCCACCCCAAGAGAAGUUAAGAUGAUUCCUCCAAUUCGGAUUGUAUGUGUUACUAUAGUGAGAAUUUUGAUUCAUCGGCCCUCUAUCUUGAUGCCCUACGUAGUAGAUUGAUUCAGAUUCAGGAUUCACGAGAUAUAUGUCACUUGUGUGACCUUCACCACAUAACUCGCAGCAAGUAGACAUCUGUUGCACAUGUUGCAUCUGUUGUACGUGAUGCAUUGUCACUUUAUUCAUCUGAUUCGCUAAUCUCACUAUAUCUGCCCUCAUUGCCGAGAAAUCAUCAAGCUCGAUCAAACCUGUUGCCAUUUGUUUAAGUGCUCUGCGUAGUUCCCCCUCUCCUUGCCAAUUAUUAUCAUUAGCAGCGAAAUUGUUUAGCAGGAUCUGGAUCUCACUAUACGGUCUUUCCAUGCAACUACUCCCACAUGCUGAGUCAAGAUUCAUCUUUGAUGCCUCGCCCAACCCAUCAACGAAAGUAUUACCCAACAUCUCAUCAGCCUGACAAUGGUGUGGGCAGUCUCUAAGUAGCUUCUUGUAUCUUUCACAAGCUUGUCGAAUAGUAUCGCCAUCUCGUUGUUGAAACCCAAGAAUCUUGCUCCUCAGUGACUUUGUCUUCUUUGUGUGAAAAAACAUGAUUAAGAAUUUCCUUGCUAGAUCAUCCCAAUUGUGGAUUGAGUUCGCGGGCUCCUUUUGUAACCAUUCCUUAGCUUCCCCCCACAGUGAAAAGGGAAACAGUGUCAGCCUGACAUAAUCCUUGGAAAUGUUCGGAUAAUUGUAAGUGUCUGCAAUUUCCAGGAAGUUCUGAAUGUGCCUCUGCGUGUUUUAUGAAAUAGACCCACAUACUGCCCUGUGGACAGAAUCAACUGUACCAUGUACUGUUUGAGUUCAAAGUGGCCCGUGAUAUCAGGCUUCACAAUCUCUUGAGUCAUAAGAGCCAUAUUAGGCCUUGCAACCUCUAUCACCGGACGCCCUUCAUUACCUGCCAUCUCUAUUGGUUGUGGUUGAACUACGAGGUCCAGCUAUCUUUCAAUUCUAGUUCUAGGUUAAACUUCCCUCCUCUCUCUAUGAAGUAUUCAUUUGAUUUCAGGAUCAAGAGGAAGGAUGUUGUUUGCGCUUCUACUCCUCCGCAUUCAAGAGAAGAGCCUGUGUUACCACAAAUAAAGCAAACUAAAAAAAAAUUAAAACUUGAAAAAAUAAUGAAUAAAAGCUUAACUUAACUAAACAAUCAAUAACUAAGUCCUCGGCAACGGCGCCAAAACAUGUUGUUCCCCAAGUACACACAAGUAUACGUGGCCAUCAAGUAAUAAAGUGAUUCGAAAGUCGGAUGUCGAACCCAUAGAGACUUAGAUUGAUUCUUAACUAAGCAAACUAAAAUCAAUUAAUUGUCCAAGAUAUUUAAGAGUGGUAUUUUUCUAUUAAUCUACUAUUGCGGAUAUUAAACAAGUAACAACUAAUUUUUCACUAAUGUAAAUGCGUAUGACAAUAUUUUACUUCAGAUGAGAUGAAAAUUGCAGGGUUGUGGUUGGUUUAUCAAUCCUAUUAAGUUCAAUAAUCACACUCUUUAAUCCAGAUUAUCUAUGGUUGCUAAUUAACCGGAUCGUUUAUAUGAAUUGCAUGUUCCCACAAUACUAUUUGCCAGUCCACAAUAUAUCAAUCAUAUAUUCCUAUGGUAUUGAGUCUAUCAUGAACAAAUAUAACACGAUAAUCAAUUAAGCAAGACUGUUAGGUAUAUUCCUAUCCUAACCGCGAAAUCUUUCCCUAAGCCACAGGUUUAGAAAUAAGCUCUCUCUAAUUCUACUAUAAUCUAUACAUGGCUUUCCCAACCAGAGCAUAGAUAGUAAAUAGAACUCAACUGCUGGCCAAACAAUUAAGCAAUUAUGCACAGAAUUAGAGAAACAACCACAAGAUGAUAAUCCGAAUUAACGAAGAUGUAAUUAAUGAACGUUAAUAAUCAUGUCAACCACAACCCUAGAACUAGAGUGCUUAGCCACUCAUGUUUGUAGUAACAAUUUUUCAAGUAUUUUGCAUAAACAAAUUACAAAGAAAAGAUAAAGGAAUGAAGAACUCGAUGAUUUUCUUUUCCAAAAGUGGUUCCACGUGAUGUUCUUGCCCCUGGUCGCAAAACGCCUCCAAAUAUGGUGUUUAAUGACUAUUUUAUAUGUGUUGGGAAAAGACCCAAAUGAAAUAAUGAAGUCCAAAACCAAAUAGGAGACGAAAUAGGCUUCUAAAAUCCGGAACCCCCUCGCUACAGACCGUGCCUGGCGACCUCUAUAGCGCCUUCCACCUCUCCUUAGGCCUUGCCUUGCGAGCUCAAAUGCGAGCUAUGAGUCUCGCACCACCUACUCUAUCGUGAGCAGUGAACCUCGCAUCACCUGGGAUGCUGCUGCGCUUUUGAGUUGCUUCUGUUUUUGCAUUGUUCAUUCUUAAGUUCUACAUUCCAAACAUCACUUUCCAUUUCAUGUUUUUUUUCUUCUUUUCCUUAGUUUUCAAUUUUUUUGCAUUGUUCUUUCUUUUUAAAUAAUCAUGACUCCAUUUUUGUAGUGUAUAAAAUAUACAUAAAAUCUCUGCUUUGCUCCCAAUUUCAUUUUCAACGUACCUACACAUAAAAUAAACUCAAUUAAGUAUGAAUAUAGUAUAGUUUAGCAUUAAAGCCACAAAAUAUAAGGUAAGUAAUGCAAUAAAAAUAUGGACUUAUAGCUAAACAUCAGAAAUGAAGAAAUGAACAUAAAUGGGUAAGAAAUUCUUAACGAAAAUCUUCAAAUCUUCAAAAAUCAAGUAUGUGUGCAAGAACCCUAGAUCCAAAACAUAUCUUCUCUAGUCAAUAGACUGAAAAAUAAGCCAAAGGCCUUCCUAAAUAUCGGCUAGGACGUGUAUUAAAUGGUUUGGAGGUCAAAAACAUAAAAUUUUAGAACUGUCCAGUUUUUCCGCCAAUUACUUCUUUGCGUUCGCGAUCCUUCCUUCACGUUCGUGAAGGUUUAUUUCCUCCAACUUCGCAUUUCUGGUCAUCCAUACGUGUUCACAAAGGUUUGGUUUCCUGCAGCUCUGCGUUCACGUUAGUCCCUUCGCGUUCGCGGAGGGUAAUUCACCGAGCAGUGUUCCUGUGUUCAUUUUAGCACCCUUUAGACUUGUUUUCACUUGGUUUCUUCCCGAUCGCUUCUCAAUCAUAAAAACCUGUAAAAUAGAAGUAAACUACAUUAAACACACUAUUUUAUCAAUCAACCGUAGCAAAAAAAUCUAAUAUUAAAAAAGAGAUUAGUUGGUAAAAUACCAACUUAUCAGUGCUCCACUCAUCUCUGUGGCUCUGUGGAACAUACUCUCUCAAGAAAAGAUCACAGUACUGGGACCAACUAAGUGGUGAUGUUCUAGCUAGUAUAGUUGCCUCAAAAGUCUGCAACUAUCUAUAUGUCGGUCGUGUUAGCUGGAAAGUGGCAAGGUCGACCUCGCUCGACGCAACCAAGCCCAUAAUAAGUAGAAUGCAGUGACACUGAUCCAAGAAACCAUGUGCAUCCUUAGAAGCCUCGCCACUAAAGUGAGGAGGAGGACACUUUUGGAACCUCUCUAACCUCUUAAGCUCCUCAACCGACGCAGUUGGUCCGACCUCAGGCUAAACUGCAACUACUGGUUAUACCGGUACAACACCCGAUGUUUGAUAAGCAUGAGCCAAUUGCUCUGUGUAUGGGCGGCGAAAGUCUGAGCCCCUCCCCCAGCCUGUGAAGUAGCUCGUGCAACUAUAAUCAACCCUGACUGAGCUAAAGUCCCAAACAUGCACAUAAAGUAUGCCAAGGUCUCCUAGAGUCCUGGCGUAGCAAUAGGCUGCCCAUGUGCCUGCUCAACAUGCUCUGGCUCCUAAUCCUCAACUAGAGCUGCAUGAGGUUCCACACCUGCUGCUCUGGAAGUUGAUCUAGUCGUGGCACACUCUCCUCCUCGGCCUCUGCCUUAGGCCCGGCCUCUCGCGGAUCUAGCAGGGGUCGCGAGUGCCUGCUCAAUAGAUGCGAUAGUGUGUUUCUUCACCAUCUAUGAGAGAAUAGAAAGACAAAGAUUCAAACUAUGAAAUCGAUAAAUCUGCACGAUAUGGAAUGAAACAAGUGAAAGUUUUUCCUAAUAGUUUCAUAGCCUCUCGAAGAUAAGUACAGAUGUCGCCAUACCAAUCCGCAAGACUCUACUAAACUUGCUCGUGAAUCGUAGAACCUAUCAAACAAGAUAUCUGAUACUAAUUUGUCACCACCCAAAUCCCUUUAUAGGGGUCGUGAUGGCACCUACUCUCUAAAUCUAGGUAAGUCGAUCACUUACAACAGUUAAAUCAAUAAAGACAUGGUAUAAUGAACCAAAGUUUAUCAUAACAUCGAAAAUAAUUGUUAUACAAGUUAAACCAGUGAUAACCACAAACAUAUCCCCAGAACUAAGUAGUAUAGAGCCACGAGCUCUAACUGAAUACAUAGAAAUAUGUGAAAAUACAAUACUGCUCUAAUAAAGAAGUGAUAGUAUAAAUAUAAGAAAAGGACUACAAAAGACUGCGAUUGUCAAUGCAUCUACCUGAAAUCCUCACUAUCAACGAAGCUCUCACGACCUAGAUUUGCUACCUCCAACACCCGAAUCUACAUAAAAAUGUGCAGAUAUGUAGUAUGAGUACACCACGUCAGUACCUAGUAAGUAUCAAUAUUAAUCUCGGAGAAGUAAUGAAGAGAUUCAAGUCUCCGGAAACACACUAGUCAAAAUAACUUGUGCAAUAAAUCAAAGACCAACAACAAAAGUAGAGCAGAAAUACCAUAGCAAUAACCUCAUCAGACUAUGUGAUAACAACUUAAUACAAGUAAAGGCUCAAUUUCAACAACAAGUCAUCACAAAGAAACUCACACUAAAAGCACCUCGUGCCAAAAUUUUUAUCACAACAACAAUAGCCAUGUAUAUCACUCCAUGUAGUCAAUAUAACAAUAACCACCCGUAUCGCUCAGCCCAGACAAUAUCACAAUAGCCACAUGUAUCGCUCCACCUAGACAAUAUCAUAAUAGCUACUCUUAACGCUCCACGUAGACAAUAUCAGAGGAGCCACCCGUAUCACUCCGCCCUCACAAUAUCACAAUAGCCACCCGUAUCACUCCCCUGAUAAUAUCACUAUAGCCACCCGUAUCGCUCCACACAAUCAAUAAUAGUUAUAUACCACCCUUAUGCUCCACUCAACAACAUCAAUCCACACAAAAUGUUCACAUAUGCCACAAGAUCACAAAAACAAUAAUAUCAAAUUUUUAUAAAAGAUAUAAGCUCAAAACCUUUCAACAUAGUUCCCAAGGACUUGACAAUAACAUAAAAGUGCGGAGGGGUGCUCAACAAAUAAAACAUGUAUGUGGGUAAGUCAAAUGUAUCGAUCACAAUCAUGUAGUCACUACAUGGAUUAAGCAUAUUUCAUAUACAAUACAACCCCAAAUUAAGGCAAAUUAAUAGCCUAAGAUCUAUUAUAGUCACAACCACACAUAGCACCCGUGUAGUACACGCUCGUCACCUCAUAUUGGUAAGAAAUCAAAGCUAAAUCCUAAGGGGUAUUUCUCCACACAAGGUUAAGCGACAUACUUACCUCAAACAAGCCAAAUCAGUACUCUAAAAAACCCUUCCCACAUGAAUCAACCUCCGGAUAGCUCGGAUCUAGCCAAAAUAACAUAAUAACAUCAAUAAUAGCCAUAGGAAACAACCCCAGACAAUAAAACUUAUAUCUUGAACAAAUAUCGAAAUAACAACAACAAGAACAAAAAAUACAGUGUAAUCCCACAAGUGGGGUCUGAGGGGGUAGAGUGUACACAGACCUGACCCCUACCUUUAAAAGGCAAUGAGGAUGUUUCUGGUAGACCAUCGUGUCACAAACCAAACCAAUGGGCCGCGACGGGCACCCUGUACCUUACUCAACCGAGUACCAAUGUAACGUAUCUUUCUUAAUACAUCAUCAUAUACACAUGAGAUACGGGCCUAAUAGGCCAACAUGAUCAUUUAUAAACUCAAAACAUAGGCCGACAAGGCCGUACAAUCUUUCACGUACACGACAUACGUCUACAAGCCUAUAUGAGUAUAUAAAUGUCAUAAAUGUUGGGAUAGGGCCCCGACAUGUCAGUACAUGUCCUAAUCAUACUGACCAUAUAAGUAACUCUGGAGCAAAUGGAGCGCACCAACACUUUUCGCUGAGCUGAUAGCCUACUUGGAGGACUCUCGACCAUUCUAUCAGGACCUGCGGGCAUGAAACGCAGCGUCCCCAAGCAACAGGGUCGUCAGUACGAAUAAUGUACCGAGUAUGUAAGCCACAUAAAUAAGUACAUAACAGACAUAGAAGAAAUAUAGAGACCUGUAAGUCUGCAUAACUCUAAAUCAUGAAAUAAUUAUAGUGUCAUGCAUAUGCGUAUGAAUGUCAUGUCGUGCAUAGGUACAUGUUUCAUAAGAUCACCAGGCCUCUGAGGGCAUCCCAUCAUAUCAUCUCGGCCAUUGUGGGCAAAAUCAUCAACGUAUACCAGCUGAUCAGGUGGUGGUGCGUAUAUAAUGCCGUAACAUUCUCCCAUAUCCCAUAUACAUAUACAUACAUAUAUACGCGUAUAUAACGCCAUCUGGUCAUGGGUCAAUGUGCAUGUAUAGAUGAAUGCAAUACAUGAGAAAUAUGUCAAUAAAAUCUUUCUGAACGUCAUAAGACCAUUAUGCCUCUGAUUAAUAUCAUGAAAUAAACUUUAUCAACUUACGUAUUUUUUGAGACCCAUGAACAGACGAUAGAAUAAUAAGACUUAUGAGAGAAUAAGAAUAUACACAUCUCUAGCGUUUCUACGAAUAGAGUAAUUUAUGUAAGUUGUACAUUUGUUUGUUUCGUUCAUGUCGUAUAGAUCAUUCCAAAAGAAAGAAGGGCAUAGCCUCGACAUACUUGAGCCGAUUCUCUUGACCAUCCCUCUAACACAUGCCAAUUGCGACGAAACACGUAACAACGAGAUCGAAAUAGGGAACAAUUUGUAUGAAAUACCCAAAGUAAUAACGUUGCUAUUUGGAAAUUCAUCUUUGUAGGAAACUCUUUCUUAAGAGAGAGGAAAUAAUAUUUAAAUUUCUUUGGAAAGAAUCUUGGCUGAAAUGUUUGUAGAAGAACGUUGUUGUUACUUGAAAAUGAGAGUAUAAAUGUUGUAAGACUUACAUCUCUCAUUUGCCUCACAUAUAUGACUCAUGUCCCUAAUUUGCCACAUUUCAUAUGACUUUAAGAGUCAUCUAAAUCUUAAGGGGAGGGGCUGCCACGUUUUUGCCUCUUAGGCUUAUCCAAAAUCCUAAUAAAUUAUUCACUAAUUAUUAAUUAACUAGUUAUUUCCCCCAUUAACCAAUAAUCAACCAAUUACCCAUAUAAUUAAGAAUUAUCUCAACUUACUUAAAAUACUACUCACUUUUAAUGCACUUUAUACAUCUUACUAUCAUGGUCGUGUGGUACCCUGUAUGAUACUAGUCCAUAAAUAUCGGGUAUUUUAGCUCGUGUCGUAUUUUAUCCCAAAAUGUCAAACUUCGACGAAACUAAUUUCCUUCGAUUCGCUUACCCUCUCACUUUCACGAAUUUACUUAUCACUUGCUUGAAAUAGCAUAAUUCUUAAUAAUAUCAAAAUAAUCCCAUUCACGAACUUACGCCGAUUAACUUACGACGAAACUUCAACGUACGAAAUGCGGGAUGUAAUAUCUCAUUUUCGAGCUUUCAUCAAUUUACUUAUGGUGUACUUUUACGUACAAAAAUAUGGGGUGUAACACCUCGGCUCCGGGAGGAAAAAGGAAAAGGGCAAGAACAAGCAAACCAAUCAGACAACCAAAGCGAAAAUACAAAGCUAACACCAAGUAAUGCAAAUAGAAAACCGAUACAAGGCAGUAAUAAGUAAUAACAGCAAUCUAGGGAUAAAAAGAAGAACCCAAAAGACACUAAGAGAUGUAUCAAAUCUAUAGUGACAAACAAGGACAACACCUGGCUACCUAUUCCUCUACCUUUAUUCUCAACCUCCACACCUUCCUAUAUUGGGUCAUGUCCUCAGUCAGCUGGAGCAACGCCAUAUCUAACUUAAUCACCUCACCCCAAUAGCUCUUCGGCAUACCUCUACCUCUCUGUUGGCCUACUAAUGCCAGCUUCCCAUACUUCCAGAGCAUCAGUGCUUCUCCUCUUAACAUGCCCGAACCAUCUAAGUCUCACCUUCCGCAUCUUAUCCUCCACACGGGCCAUGCCAACCUUGUCCCGGAUAACUUCAUUUCUAAUUCUAACCAACCUGUUAUGCCCGCACAUCAUUCUCAACAUACUUAUUUCAACUACCUUCAUCUUCUGUACAUGAGAGUUCUUGACUGGCCAACUCUCCACCCCAUAUAGCAUAGUCGGUUUGACCACCGCUCUAUAGAACUUACCUUUAAGUUUUGGUGGCAAAUUUUUAUCACACAGAACACUUGAAGCAAACCUCCAUUUCAUCCAUCUCGCCCCAAUAAGAUAUGUAACAUCCCCGUCGAUCUCCCCAUUCCCUUGUAUAACAGACACAAGGUACUUGAAACCUUAUCUCCUAGGAAUAACUUGUGAAUCAAGCCCCAUGUCUUCAUCCACAACCUCAAUCGCGCUACUAAACUUGCACUCCAAGUAUUCUAUUGUGGUCUUCCUCAACUUAAAACCUUUAGACCAUAGGGUCUGCCUCCAAACCUCUAACCUCUCAUUAAAACCACCUCGCAUCUCGUCAAUCAGUACAAUAUUAUCUGAAAAUAACAUGCACCACGGUACCUCUCCUUGAAUGCGAUGCGUCAGCGCGUCGAUUGCCUGGGUGAACAGAAAUAGGCUACGGGCUGACCCUUGAUGCAACCCCGUCACAACCGGAAAGUGUUCGGAGUCCCCUCCCACUGUCCUCGCCAGAGUCUUAGCUACAUCGUACAUGUUUUGAAUAGCCCUAUUGUAUGCAACAUGAACAUCGCUAACCUCCAAAAAUCUCCACAACACCUCCCUGCGUCCUCUAAGUCGAUGAACACCAUAUGUAAAUCCCGCUUCCUCUCCCUAUACUACGCCAUCAACCUCUUAACAAGGUGAAUGGCUUUUGUAGUUGAGCUCCUCGGCAUAAAUCUGAAUUGGUUCUCUGAGAUAGACACAAUCUUCCUGACCCCUCCACUCCACCACCAUCUCCUAUACUUUCAUAGCAUGACUCAAUUGCUUGAUACCCCGGUAGUUGUUACAAUUUUGGAUAUCACCCUUGUUCUUAUAUAAUGGAAUCAUCGUACUCCAGCUCCACUCCUCAGGCAUCUUCUUCAUCCUAAAAAUGACAUUGAAUAACCCAGUUAGCCAUUCCAAAGCCGCUCUACCCACACUCUUCCAAAAUUCCAUCGGGAUUUCUUCUAGCCCGGUCGCUCUUUCCCUACUCAUCUUACGCACAGCCCCCUCUACCUCCUCAACUUUUAUAUGCCUACAAUACCCAAAGUCCCGACGACUCUCAGGUUGUCAACCUAAAAGGUCAAUCGGAGCUUGUUGACGUCCAAUUUUGACCCUCCCCUUUUAAAUUAAUUUAUUUAUACUUAAUAAUUUACAUUAACUGUUUUCAAAGUAUUUUCCAGUAAUGAAUCUCCAUUUUUCACAAAUUAACCAAACAUUAGUUUUAAAGUUAAUCAUAUUGCAUUGACAUUAUGUAAUUACAAAAAUAUAAGAUUAUAAAAAUAAUUUCUAUACGUAGGUUCUAUAAUUAAUUUGAUACAAUUAUCUUCAAUUCCUGGUUAAUUUGAUUACUAUGUGAUGAUUCAAAAUUAGUAUAAAAGGCUUAAGGGCUAUUAUUGCAAUUCCUUAAUUAAACAUAGGGUGGUUAUUCUUUAAAUGAAUUUCAACUCAAUUAUCAAGCCCAAAGCCUAAUUUGACCUAGACCCAAUCCCCUUCUCUCAACCUUGGCAAUCUUUGUGACCUCUUCUGGACCAAAAAGAUUAUGCCACAUCACUCGUAUCUCCUAAUCACAAAGAAAACACAAAUGAAUCUGGGUCAUUUGUUUAUCCUAUCAACGGUCCGCAUUCAAUCUUCAUAUUUCUUCUUUAGUCUUAUAAGACUCAAUAUCAGCCGUCCAACAUCAGAGAUCCAACGGCCCUCGUAUUCCCCCAUUUAAAAUAUUUUAAUCCUAAAAUAUUAGGACCGUUGAUCUAAAAGUUCAACGGCCCAAAUCAAUUCCCUCAUUCUUGACCUAGAGGCCGGCUAGUCUCACUCAGAAACCCUAAUAAUUUCUCUCACUCAUACGUCCGCCCUCAUUUCCUCAUUUGCUCUCUUUUCUCUCAAAUUGCCCAUGAACAUCAAUCAACUAAACCUUGCACAAAUCCGUGCAAGCUCGUGAACGCUCUCAUCAAAUCAUCCUUUUAUUGCUUCCCUAGCCAGAGAUUAACCCCUUAAGAUUGAAGACCAUUCCGUCUUUGAUCUCAAAACCCAACUGGCAGAGUAAAAUCGCUUCGCUCCUAGGCUGUGAAAUUUGAGACUAGACUUCCAUUCUCGUUGAUGGAUAUUCAAAACCCCAAAUUCGAAUACCCUAGACCAAAUCGUACAAGAGUCAAAUCUCAGAAACCUCCUCUGUUUUGGUAAAUCUAUGGAAUGCAUGAACAUUUCUCAAGGUUAUCAUGAUUAUUCUUGGUCCAGAGGUCAAGCAAAGCAACCUCUAGACAUUAGGGCUCUUACCAGAUGGUUUUUUCCCUCAACGACCAACUUCUCUCCUCUGAGGUAAACUCGU
rnacentral:lncRNA from 1 species